rnacentral:lncRNA from 1 species
ACUAAGUUUCCCAAAGGGAAUAUUGAAGAACCUCUACGUCCGAGUUGGUACCUUAUACGUUCAGGCAGACUUCGUGGUGAUAGAGACUGGUACUAAUGAGAGGGCACCCAUCAUCCUAGGGAGGCCAUUCCUGAACACCUCGAGAGCUGUCAUCUACGCUAGUGCUGCCAAGAUCAGUUUCUACAUGAAGGGGAGGAAGGAGACGUUUUCGUUCAAGAACAAGACUACACAAAUCUCAGAGCAAUCCCAACAUGAACCAAGGAAAGGACCAACAGGAGGAACAGGAACAAGCAAAUGUAGACCAAGUCAGCUAAGAUGGUCACUGCAGUUCAAGGAGGUCAAGAUCGUCGACUUAAGUCACAGUUCCUGACCAAAAAGGACGACCUAGCUCCAGAUGGCAGAUCAGACAUUCCGAAAGGUUGAAGGUUAUUGACAUGAGAGAAGACGAAUUCGAUCCACCCGUCAUCCUUAGAAGACCGUUCCUCAGCACCGUUAAAGCAAUCAUCUACAUAGGAACCGGAGAAGUCCACAUGCACUUCACCUCUGAGAAGGUACGCCACUGUUUUACUGACCCUAACUAUAUAGUUGAAGACUCUAAGCAGGUCAGAACAAGAAGAAGACGACGCAACCGCAACCAGAGGAGGCAAAGUCAUUAAGGACGGAUGGGCAGACUAUGAAGGAGAAGUGGUAAGGUUUGAAGACAUACAGCUUGAAUAGAACUUUCCUGAGGAGACACCGCCGGAACCACCGACUACGCCAUCCAGUGAAUCCCAGGACGAAUGAGAAAACGGAGAGUCCCAUUCGGAGGACGUUAAAACACCGAACGCCUUGCCAAGAGGUAAACUUGGUAGUUAUCUUUUUCCUUUCAAUUAUUUAAAAUAGUUUGGUUAGUUAAUCAAGUUCAUAUCAUUUUGAAAAGAAAAUAAAAAUGUUAAAAAUAGUAAGCCCCAUGUGAGUAUGCUCAUGGCAUAAAACCCAUAAGUACGUUCACUGUGGUGGCAUAAAAAUUAAAUAAAUAUAUUCCUGUCCUAUAAAAAUAAAAUUAUAAAAAUAAAUUUAUGAUCCUACUAAAGAGAGUAACAUUUAUUGAGGAGGCUCAACAUGAAAAAGGCUAGAUAUUUAUGCUAACACUUAACUAGUUCCACAUAGCUUUGUUGUCUAUUUGAGCUCCACAGGAUUUAAAGAUCAAAGCAGACUAGCAGAUGGAGGACAUCCUAAUCGCUGUCAGGGUGCUGCCAACAUUCAAAUACACCUCCGUCACCUGCUAGCUACAUCAGAAGAAAUUACGUCAAGAUCUAGGUUGGGGGAGAGCACCCCAUUUAUCCAGCUAAGUAUUCUACUCACAUUUAUACUUUACUCUAAUAAUAAAAAGAUGCAUAAUCAUAUAAACCCAAAUAAAGAUUUUGUGCUUAUAUAUAUAUAUAUAUAUAUAUAUAUAUAUAUAUAUAUAUAUAUAUAUAUAUAUAUAUAUAUAUAUAUAUCUUUGCUUAGUUUGCUAAAUAAAUAAAUAAAUAAAGUUUGCUAUGAACCCUCAUGAUAAGCUCUCACAUGGAAAUGAUGAAUAGUUGCUCUACCAUGACUAGUUCUCAAAAUUGAAAUCUCUCUCAAGUUUAGGCAUGACCGGUAUUAAUUAAGAUUUGCUCUAAACCUGAACUUGUGGGAAGAAAACUUGAUCUGAAGUCUAUGUUUUUAACGGAUACGAUUUGGGAAGGUUGAGCUGCUGUUUAUCUGUUCCUAGAGAUACUAGAAUUCUGGAGAAUUUUAUCUUUGAAAAUCUUUAAUAUAUUACAUGAUGAGUUCCUGUAUGAUGAGAGUUUAAAUUUCUACCACAGCCAUAUAUACAUGCUUGCUAGACUUUGAGCCACACAUUUACUUUUUACUGCUUAUGAGCAUUGAGUGUGGUCAAGCUGUGUAGACCCUUAGGAGCUUGUCAUGUGGUUAAAAUCAAGAUUCACUUGCACAUUCACUCACACAUGCUGCUUCUACUCCGGAAGUACGCAUCCACAUACAUCUACUCAUUUCCAUCUCCAGAUUCACCUAAAAAUAUUCUACUCCUAAUCUGGGAGAGAAUAGCAAAAAACAUUUCUAUUUUUCCCUGUGAAAUAAAUGCUCAUGUUAUCUUGGUUACUACCACUUGCUAUAUUAUUUUAGAAGAUGAGUGCUUUAAAAAAAAGAGAAAAAAAAAGAAAGAAUACGAGGAAAUAAAAAGGGGCAUGUGCCCGGAACCUCGAAAGAGAAGAAAAAAUGAGACGAGAGGUAAAAAUGGACAAGUGUCCGACAGUAGAAUUAGGGUACAAGAUACCCACCUGAGAGGAAAGAAAAAGAAAAUAUAGAGCAUCUCAUUCUCCCCAAAAGUUUCAAAAGAGCAAGGAAGGUUUGUAUCCCCUCAAAAGAGCAAAAGUAGAAUUAGACGUUCACCAUUGUUAUCACCAUCAUCACCAUACACCAUUCAUUCACCACACAUACACAUCUUGAUUUGACUUAUUGACUUGUUCUUCUGGAUCCAUGGUUUGACUAUGCAAUAAAUGUCUUGUAAGUAUGUAUUAGCUGUCUCCCACCUAUGAGCUCCAAAUAUCAAAAGCCUUAUUAGUGUAGGGUGAGAGAGAAGGCAAUGUCACUAUGCCUCAUACCAAAAAUACCACAUACUUUGAGAGAAGGCAUACACCGUUACUGCCUUGUUAAGGAUCCAGAAAUACCACAAAAGAGAGACUAGAGAGAGUCAUACAAGGAAUCUCUGAGUUUUAUUUGGAAAUCUACAAAAACUCCAGAGCUAUAGUUAAUUAAAGAACAAGAGACAUGGCACUUGACUAGACCGUUCUAUCUUUUAACUGCUCAAGACACAAGUGACGGUUGCAAGCCCCAUGGUGGAAGGUAAAAUGAGUAAGUUUAAAUCUUAACAGUUUACCCUAGAAAUGAGAUAUUGUUUGAACGCAUGUGUACCUUUAAGGCAUGAAACCACUACAGAAACUCUUGAGUUCAUCUUUUCUCAGGGACGAGCAAAGGUUAAGCUUGGGGGAGCUUGUUGACGGUCCUUAAUGCUCACAUUUAACCAUCAACUAAUCAUGGAAAAGGAUCCAAAUGCAACUAACACCUACACUUAGGGUUUUAUCUGACAGAAUUCCAUGAGUUUGGGUGUUUGUCUAUUUCUGCAGGGGGUUAUCAGAAAAUACGGAAGAAAGGCCCACACGUCGGGUUUACAUAGAGAUAUUAACGUGCCGUGCAAUUUUCUAUCAUCUAGAAGACUACAAAAGCCACGGGAACGAAGCAGAGGUCGAGAGGUCUCAGGGACAGGGCGCCCGCCCAAGUCCUUAGGGCGCCCGCCCAGCUACAGUGUCCAAAUCGGGCCCGUUUCGCGUAUUAUGCUCCACCGACCUAAAGGAUCAAGGAAAACCAUGCGAUCAAUGUCGGUUUGAUCUAAUGACCCAGAUUCAUCUGAAAAGACUACAUAACCAAGACCCUCUGGCCCCUGGUGAUCAUACCUCUUCUACAGAAUCAAAGCUAGGGUUUCAAUUCUUCAUCCAAGUAGAGAGGAUCCCUCUAGUUCUUCUAGUUCUACCUCUAGUUCAUCUAGAUCUAGUUCUAGUUCAUCUAAUUCUAGUUCUAGUUCAUCUAGUUCUAGUUCUAGUUAGUUCUAGUUGUAAUCUAGAAAAUAGGGAGAGAGAAGAGGAGAACGGAGGAGGAGCCAGAUCUGUCGGAUCUUCCUCAACAUUGUACUUUUGCAGCAACUGGUUCGUUCUUCAUCGUUCUCUAGGUUCUUCAAUUCACAAUUCCUGAGUUCUUUAAUUACUUUUAUUUACAUUCAAGUUAUUUAUUGGAUUCCCGCUUGCAUCAAGUGCUCUAAUCUUUGAAACAUUAGAGUAGUAAUUAAUAGAUUAGACGUGGUGUUUAGUCUUGCAAUUACCUGAAAUUGCACCCAAUCCUGCGGAUUGUUGUGGUAGCCCUAGGGUAGUGACAGCCCUAACGGUCGACGUAUUCCACCUCGUUCGGAUCGGUGUUUGUAGGACCGUAGUCAGAGCUUCCUAGCCCCCUUCUCAUCUCUUUCUGUGGUUAGUGUUCUGAUGUCUCGAAAUAUAUAAUCUUGAAGUAAUUCUUGAUUCUUAGAUCAACUAGAGAACUCUCAUGAAACUUCUUCUCUUCCCACCAAAAAUAAUUAUAUAGUUAUCCUUGGGCGAUCUUGAUUCUUAAUUAGUACACUCACGUUCCCUGAGGAAAAUCGAUACUCUAGAAUACUCUCGGGUGAAGGCUACAUCGGUAUCCGUGUGCUUGCGGAUUUUUUCUGUUUGCGUUUAAAAUACCCAACAUCAGACUUAGUGUAGACAUUUCAGAAAUGCUUGUUGACUCUUCUUAGUGUCACUACAUAGGAUUGUCAGUCCUUGGCACAACACUAGAUGCUUGUGUGACACGAGAAGUGGCAAACGGUUUUACCGCAAGCGGACGGUGGUCAAUGUAGCACUUCACUAGGAGUAUUCCACGUAUCUUAUUUUCCACGGGGAAUGAGAAGUGGAAUAACUAGACCAAUUGAGUCAUCGGAUGAUGAUCAAAGGGCUUAGGAUUGGGUAGAGAGUUAUUUCUAAUAUUUUACUUCUAGCUAAGCUAUCCUAAGUAUACUUGAGAGUUAACUCCCUUCCUACUGUGGCCGAUAGGUGAAAAGGGUAUGGCGAAACACUUCCCUAGGCUGCUACCAUGCAGGCCAACUGUUAUUUGCAUCUUGCCUAACAACACACUAAAGAGAACUUCUAAUGUCCAGCAGAGGCCUGUCACGCUGCGCUGCUGGCGUUCUUUAGAUGCAACAAGAAGUCCACAAGGGCAGACUUAGUCUAGAUACCACGUCUACAAUAAUUCUACUACUUUAGAUCCAGCUAAGGUUUCGAGCACUUCACACAAGGCAAAGCAAUGUGCCAGAUAGGCCAGUUGUAUACCUAAAAUAAACUAAUAUAGAAAGUAAAUACUGGAUGUAUUCAGAUGAAAGGUAACUAGAAGGAAGACUUACUAGAAGUCAAGCAUCCGCUGUGGCGCUCCUGGAAGAAGACUCCCGACAAGUCGGGACUCCUCCUCGGGGAACUCCUCACUCUCUUCCCUCCAUUCUCACACUUAGCUAAGUGUAGCUCUUCCUAAGAUACAUCAUGAUUAACUAGGCUCUCUAAGGGGGUAUUUAUAGGGGGAGAUGGAGUAGGGGCUACUCCAGCACCAUGUCAGCGAUUCGUGUACUCCUUCUUCUCCAUCGUUGGAUCAAACUGACCUUGGAACCGCCAUAUGAUCAAUGUUUGGGAAUUUCCAUCACAUGUUCAUCAUGGGGAUGUCGGUGGGAGUGAACCGACUCAAGGUGGGCCCACAUGGCAGGUCGGUCGACCACGCUAUUGCCUCCAUGUGAGUCCCACCACUCUUCUAGAAGAUACUGAUGUCGGUGGGAGUGUGGGCCUGGUGGGUCCCACCAAGUGUAGGUCGGCCAACCUACUCUUUGGGGGGUUGGCCCAACACCUUGCUCCACAUGUUGUCCCCACUUGUCAUCUCCAAUGUUUUGUUGAUAUGUGGUGGUUUUGGUUCUUCAACAUCUUUGCUUCAUUUGAGCUUGAUCAGGCUUGAUUAGUGGUUAUUUGCACCUGCAUCCAAAUAAUGACAUGUACAUGUGGAACCAAGCGAAUUGUACCUAUGUCACUACUUAGUUGCCUGGUGUUAUCCCCAAAACUUAAUCUUUGUUGACGGUUUUAGUGGUCAAAAAUCAUAGUGAAAGUACCGUCAACAAGAUCCCCCACACUUGAGUCUUUACUCGUCCUCGAGUAAAGGUUAGAGACAAGUUAAAGAUCAUGGUGCAUAUAGUUGUAUUCAGGACAUAGCUCAUGCAAAUGGGUUAUGUGGUAAGUGUCUAGCAGAUUUCCUUGAGAAGUUGAUAAGAGGAACAGUACUGUUGAUAUUUGGGAACGCAAUAAGGAAUUGAUCCGCAAGCGCACGGAUAUCGGUGAGCACUUCACCCGGGAUGUUAUCUAGAGUAUCGUAUUUAUAUUUUUACCACUAGGAGAAAGAGUGCAUCUGACUAACCCAGUCUAUUACUCCUAACCUUUAGGCUACAAAGAAUGAUUCUCGAUGUGAGUGAUAUAUAGAGAAGACUACAACUGUAAUAUCUUUCUAACCUUGGUAUGGAUGAUCUACUGUUCUAUUGGGGAACCUUACGGAAUCUAGACACCACAAAGGAUGUUCAACCCGCACCUACAAACCCUAUCCUUCCUGCUAACAAGAUAUGGUCUGCAAAGGUAACUCGGAAAUGUCACGUUCCUCGCUACUACCACGGUCCAGCUAGUCAGGUAAUAUCUAUGAGUAUCCUAGCCCAAACACCACCUCUACGCUAGAGAUGAUUACUCUAAACUCUACGCGAAGAGAUUAAAGUAAACUCAUAAACCAAAGAACAAUAAAACAAGAACUUACUAGUAUUUAGAAGUCGAAAUACUGAAGAAUCCUAGGAGCAAGCUUCGGGUUAGGAGAACUUGAUCCCGUAGAUACAACCUCAGAGUAGACACCGACAGGUCGGGCUUCCUCCGAUCUACACCUCCACUCUAUCUCUCUCAAUCUAGUAGAAACUAGAAGAUCUAAUUCUACUCACAUUGGAUGGUAAGCCCUAAGUCUAUUUAGAGGAGAGGUAUUCCUUCGAGGGCUCCUCUCAACUCUAUGAUGAACUUGUCUCCUCCAGGGGCCAGGGGGUCUGCUUUUAUAGUCCCCUCAGGUGAACGUGGGCCGUUGGAUCAAGCCGACAUUGAUUGAACGGUUAUCCUUGAUCCUUUAGGUCGGUGGAACAUGAUCCACGAGUUUGGAUGUGAUUGGGCAGAACUCUUGGGCGGCCGCCCUAGGGAGGUGGGCAGGCGCCCUGCCCCCGAGCCCGAUCGCCUUCCCGUUCGUUCCCGUGGGUUUUGAAGUCUUCUAGAUGGUAGGAAAUUGCGCGGUGCGGUAAUAUCUCUAUGUAAUUCCGACAUGUGUGCCUUUCUUCCCUAUUUCCUGAUAACCCCCUGCAGAAACAGAUAAACAACAAAACUCGUGGAAUUCUGUCAGAUCAAACCCUAAUUCUAGGUGUUGUUUGUGUAUUGAUCCUUUCUCUUGUUUAUUUGUUAAUUAAAAUUGAUACUUAAGAACCCUCAACAAAUACCCCCAUACUUAGGCUUUUACUCGUCCUCGAGAAAAGGAUGGUUAAGAAAAAUAUCUGGGGUUAAAACAUUGUAAAACAUUCUCUUCAUACCUGUAGGGUGUUGUAAAAAUUCACUGUAUACCAUAGUCAGGGAAAUAUAUGAUCAAGAGUAGAGAUCCUUUCUUCCUUUCAAUCCUCUUACUUGGAGUUUUUGUAUAUUUUUGAAAAGAAAUUUAGCAUACCUUUUAUCCUCAUAGGUUCUCUCAGGUAACUCUUUAUCUUUUAUAUAUCUCACUGAGGCUGUUUUAAUUUGCAAAAAUUCUCAAGCAUUUUUACCUUGCAUUUAUUGCCUGAUCAAAAUGGGAUCCGAGGAGAAGAAUGCCAUACUCUUAGAUCAAAGGCUUUGGAAAUGAAAAACUUGUCAACUCUUCCUGGCAUAUUGCUUAUUAGAGGGACCAUGGGCUAUCAUUUUCUUUUUCUUCGUUCUCUCUUUUUUUAAGUGGAUACCGAGGUACCCCUAAUUCUACUCCCGGACACUUGUCCAUUUUUUCUGCGAGGUUAUCGAGCACUUGCUCCUUUUUAUUUCCUCGAAAUAUCCUUAUUUUUGCAUAGCCCAUGCCUCUAAUGCAAUAACAAUUUGGAAGAGUGAAUCUGUAACAUCUUGAAUACGUUUAUUGCGUUAGAAGUGUAAAGUGGCAAAAUAAUAAUAAUUGUAAUUUUAUCCAUCACUCAAAUGAAUGAUCAGAGAUUUCAGAUGCGCAGAGCUCGUCGAAUGCUUUCAGUUGCACUACUCAUAUGUAUUGUUUGGAAUUUGGAUCAUGGAGAUAUAAAUUUCAGAAGUUUAAAGAAAUAAAAAAUAAAUAGGACCUUGUUACUGUAGCAUGACGCUACAGUGCCGCGCCACUACAAUACCCGUGGUGGCCUUUUAUAUCCUCCUCCAAGGCCUUUAGGUUUAAUCCAUAGCUUUUCAUAUUCAGGAUAAAAAAAGAGGAGAGGGGAGAAAAGAGAAAGGGGAAGAGGGAAGGGGAGAAUAGUGCCUAGGGUUUUGCCGCCGCCGUCGGUCAUCCGUGGUGGUCGUUCUUCCUCCCGUGGAAUAUACGGUUCGGUUCUACCUUGUAUCUUGGCUGUCCCAAUGAUCCACCAUGUCCCUUUUGCAGUCCAUGAGGGCUUAGCCAUGUUUGGCGUAGAUCGGAAUAACAAGACUUUUGUGGCGGCAAGGAUCGUGGCGAGUUGGAUCGGAGAUGAUGGAAAGGUGAAGAGGCGGAGAAGAAGGAGUAGACGCCGAGAGUUUCGGCGUCGUGCUCGCUGUGGUUCUCUAGGUGAGAAGCCAAAUAUUAAUCCCCUUCAUCUGAUCAAGUUUUGCGGAUUAAAUCGCUUAUUUGGGAUUGGGUUUAGUGGAGAAAUUCUCGAAGUCAUUUACGUUCAUGUUCUGAAAUUCUCGUCAGACUGAGCAGUCCAUGUUCAUCGUAAUGUUAGGGCAUUUUAGAGUCUUUAAUAAUUUUUGGGUCUGUGGACAAAGUUGUAGAGGACUUCAAUAUAUUUCUUUGGACGCCAAGAAUUCUAUCAUAGCAGUUAUAAUUUGUGAGAUAUCGAGUUUUCAAUCUGACUGGUUUCCAGUGACGAAAAUCUGGACAGUUUUGGAUCUAAGCAGUUUUUGACCCUGUUAAUUAAAUAAUUAGGUCUUUGAUUAUUAACAAAGGUUUUAGGAUUUUUGUUAAGCUUUCUAGAUUGGUAAAGUUUGUAACUUUUGAAUCAGUAUAUCUCCUGUUAUGAAUUUUUGAAGUUUGAUGUUCUGCUUUGAAGGUCAGAAAUAUUCAGUUGUGUUCGAUGGUUAAUUAUACCAUCUUGCAGAUCUUUGAUGCAAAACCUUACAAUAAAAAAGUUGUAUAUAACAGAGUUUUACAUGAUUUGAUAAAUUGUGGUAAUUUUUGGAUGAGUAUUCUGAAGUAUAUGAAAAAGAGAAGAGUCGGUGCUGCUGUCUUGAUCGGUAGCGCAAACGGUAGAGGCUUGAAUGUCGGGUUUGGGGCGCUUUAGUGCGUAUUUGUUCUUACUCUUGCUUGUAUGUUGGUGUAUGUACUAAUUAGUAUUUGUGAUCAGGUGGUAGCACUUCGGAACAUCGCUAGUGCUUUUGUUCUCCUUCGGUAAAGAGGCAAGUGAAUGUAGCGGUGGUUUGCUACCGUUUUGGCUUGUUAUUUUUAUCACCUACAGUUUAUUGUCUAUAAGAAUGUCACCUCUCUCAUAUCUAAAAUUUAUGAUUUGGGUAUAUUUAGUCAUAGUUAAAUUAUGGUCUUAUUUAAGUACUUAUGGUGAUGGUAUUAUUUUAUAUUGUUAUUUGUGGCUAGCCCGCAAACCUGAAUUUUAAGUUGGAGUAUCAUUGGUGAUUAUUAAUUUUAUUGCAACAUGCCAAGUGCAUUGCAUCAUUCAUUGGCAUUGGAAGUUAUGUCUUGACAUAUGGUCAUGACUGUACCGGUACGCAUCAUGGGAUGCAGCUCCACACCUUGUUGGGUGUGCAGGCAGGAGACAUAUGCAUUGCAUUCAUAUGCAUUCAUGAGAAGUAUGUUAUUGAAGGGAUUUUAUCCACGUUAUUAUGAAGCUCUGUAUUAUUGGCUAUGUUCCAAAUUGGAAGACUGUUACAUUAGUAUGAUAUUUUGUCAAUUGGGAACAUCAUAUUAAAUUGAUGUUAAUUCAAAUUGUGGUUUAAAUAGCUUGUCAAAACAAGUUCGCUUGCUGAGAUGUUUCAUCUCACCCUUGCUUUAUUCAAUCCAGGUACUUGAUGCUUACUUGGAAGGGAACGGAAUUAGCUGCACGUCACACACUUAUUCAUUUAGAGACCUUGUGUUUUAAUAAAUAAUAAUUUGGUUUGCUUAUUGGUUUUGAAGGCGAUUGUUAAAGUGUGGGUGUUAAACUUAAUUCUUGUUGAAGUAACUUAUUUGCGUUAGGAUGUUCAUUAAUCCUAGUUUGGUAUUUCAGUAUUUUUUAUAUUUUAUUCUUCUGCUUGCUAUAAAUACAAAGAAGAUGCUGCCAAAUUGUUUAUUGGUUGUGUGCAGCUGUUGUUUGUGUAGUCUAGUAGCAUCCCGGUGUAUUUGUGGUUUUCGGGGUGUUACAGUUGGUAUCAAAGCCAGGUUUUAGAUUCUCGGAAAAAAGUAAGAUUUAAAAUUACACACUUGCACAUGUAAGUUGGGUAUGGAUUUAUAUGUUAGGCAUACCUUUUGAUGCUAAGGUAUUUGUUUUUCUUAUGUAUCCAUAUGCCUAUGUUACAUAUCAUUGCUAUUGUUAACUUUAAGUCAUGUGUAAAUUUUAUAGGCUUUGUUUACCUAAUUUUUAUUUGUUGUUGCCAUAUCUUGUAUAUAUUAAAUAUGAUCUAGUGCAUAUUAGUUAUUCUUACAAGUACAAACUUGACAAGUUUUGUCGCUAUGAUGUUUUGCAUAAGUGUACCUUUAAAGUAUUGUAGUUUUAUGUGCUUGAGUAGCGAAGAUGAUGAAUGUUCUUUAUGUUUUGUUGAUAGCAAAAGAUCUUGGAACCUCGUAGAGUAGCUAUAGUUUAGUAGUACAGAUGGGCGGAGUGGAGGGCCCCCACAAUGCUUUUUCUGCACUACUAUGUGAGGGUUUUCUGAGAGAUAGGUAGCGACCCAACUAUCUGUAUUCGAAGAAAAUAGUUGAGUGACGGGUGGAUUGGCCCCCAUGCCGUGCACUCUAGCUAUUCUCUCUCGACAUAUUGAUUGGUGGGACGUUGUGUGACUUGCCCUAUAUGUUCAUGUUGUGAUGUAUAAACCUAAGCCUAGAAUGGUGUAGGUUAUGCCAUGGUGCAGUUGUAACCUUACACAGGUCAUAGUGAUUCAGUGAUAGAAGUGCAUAUUAAGAGUUACAUGUGGUUUGAGGGUUAUAUGCAAUCAUGUGUUUUUUUUGUCGAGUGCAUGCUGGUUAUCUAAUUAAUUUCUAGUGUCCAAGUAUGUGAGCUUACCCUUGUAAUGCUUGGGUGAAGUGUUUGCUUGAAGACAUGAUUUUACUGUGUUCUAGGUCAUGACUACUUUAUUAUAAGUUGCUUUAAAGUUGUCGUUUUUAUUUUGAGUAGGAUUUGGGUUUACUAAGCGGAGAAGUGCCUGAACUCUAGAAGUCAUAUUUGUUGCUAGUGCAUGAAUAGAUAUUUAGAAGAGUUGGUUAAAUUAGUAUUCAUGAUUCCAUAAGCGUUUAUCCUUAACAUGAUGUUCAUGUUCUUUAAAAAUGUGAAGUUGUCUCACUUCAUUCCUUAGCCGUGGCUAUUGUUUGACUGAACUGAUCUAAUUCUUUAUGUGCAUGCUUAAUAUGUCAUCUUCAACUUACUUACAUGAUUUGGUUGAAUUAGUCCUUGUAGAUGGCUUCUUGGGUUUGCAAGUCAUUUUUUUACUUGUGUGGUAUUUAUCUUUGUAGGUCAUACAUAUGUUGUCUGUGUUUAGUGUUGUUCUAGAAUUCAUGGACGAAUUCUUUUUAGUGUAUGUUAAGAAGCACAAAGUGGUAAAUGGUCCAAUGAGAGUUUUUUGAGUUGCAAAAAAAAUAUCCAAUGCCCGGAUGGAUGAUUAGAGACCAUAGUUGCGUAGAGCUCGAUGAACUCUUUCUGUUCGACUUCACGCGUUGUUUGGAGAUUGAUUUGCUCAACUAGGGCUGAUACAGUAUUUAUGGAAGGGAAAUAUAUAGUAGACCAUCAAUAAAUCGUGCUACGGUAUCAUAGUUGGCCGUAUUGCGAGCGUUUCUGGUGACUUUUCACCUAUGUCUCUUCUUUUCCUUUUUUCCUUGCCCCUAAUCCUCCUAGGACUCCCAUUUCUUUUUCUAAGACUUUGGAUUCAUGUUGUCUGCUGCUGCCAUUGACUAACCAGAGAAGGGAGGAAUGAUAGAGAAAAUAAGAAAGACAAGUGAAUGAGAAAAAAGGGAUUGCACAAACCCUAAGUUUUUUUUAUUGCAUAAUCUAGGUGAGAUGAAUCUUAUUUAACCCCCUUGCUUUGGAUUAGAUUUAUACCCUGGUUUUUUUUGUUAGAUUAGAUGGGGUAGUUCUCAUCAGUGAUCAUGUCCACAUCCUGAGAAUUUAUGAGGUUGUGUAGUCUGUGUUCAUUGCCAUCUUUAUUUUUGUUACAGGCCGAAUUGGCCAAACCAUUGAACACCAAAUUUAAAGAUAUUUUCUUUAACCAUCUGUAAAAUUUCAUGAUUUUAGGCUAUGUGGUUUGAGAUUUUUUUUACUAUAGUUGUUGCCGUUUCCAUGUUGUUCUAGAUAGUAAUAGAUUGAUCCAGUUUUUGUCAAUGCUAAAGGUCAAAUCAGUCUUUAUAAUGAAUACCAAAGUUGUAGUGUUUUUUACUAUCUUUCCAAUGGUGUAUGAUUCAGUGUCAUAUCUGAAAUAUAAAUUUAGAUUUAUGCUUUUGAAUUGAGUUUGUGAUUUCUGAUGUCAAAUUCUGUGUUCGAUGUUACUACCUUAACUAGAACAUCUUGAUGAUUUUUACUGAAAGUAUCUAUAGAACAAACGUUCUGUAUAAGACAAUUUUACAUGAUAGAGGUAAAGUUUCAUAAUUGUUGGUCAAGUGUUUUAUAGUAGAUAUCAAUAUUAUUUUGGUGACUAUUAGAAUUUAGGACAAAUUUCAUUUUUCUGAAUUCAACUCAGUUUAGGUAUGCUUAAAUUCAGAAUAAAAACAUUGUGUCUUCAUAAAAACUAUAAACCUUGUUUUGUAGUUUUCAAAUAUUCAUUUGUUUACUAUCAUUGCUUUUGAAAACUAAAGAUACAUAAAUAUCAAAAGGUUAUGCUGCUGUUAGCCAAAAAUAGUGUUGGUCAUUUUGUUUUUCUCAAUGGGUUGGAGUGUAGUGAUGCAUUACUUGUUAUUCAUAUAUGUUCAUGUUUGUGCCUAUAAGAUAGACAAAAUUGUAGGUUGCACCAUUGUUUCGGUUUGUUUUGUUUGUUUGGCAAAUUUGCCAAGCUUGAUAUAGUGUUUGUCCCAAUGGGGAGUAGCUAAGGUCACACCUGACCCUUUGAUAUGUGCAUGGUUGUCAUGCUAGUUGGUCUCGUUCCAUGAGGAAAAAGUUUUGAGGUGAAAGGAAGCAAGUGUUUUGUCUUCACUCAUAGAUGGGCACAUAGUCUAUGGUGUAUUAACAAGAACUAGUUUUGGCACGAAGUUCUGUUUCGUAGUUCAUGGUGCCACCUCAAGCUACUAGUUGGUUUGAGGCAAAUGUUGACCCAUGGAAUCAGUGAUCAUCAGUUGCUUGAUGGUUGUUCUAACCAGAAGUUUGGUAAUGUCCUCUAGGCAAAUUAAAUGUGAUAUACAAUCUUAUCAUUGAUUGUUCCCUGGAUGUUUCUUUGUCAAGUAAUUGGAGCACGUAGGAGGAUUAUGUCUAGCUCCUAGCUAGUUUAUUCCAGUCGAGCCUAUGAAAUUUCUUAGUUUGUUUCUUUUAUCAAGGAAUGAAAGGUCUAGUGGCUUGAUCAUUUAAUCGAGAAAGGCAGGAGACAUUUUUUUAUGGGCCACUUUAAGCUUGUCUUAGAAAUAACCUAUGUGUUUGUUAAGGCGGCAUUUUGUCAUCUUGUUCUUUGUCAUUGUAGGGAAGUUUGACAACUGUGGUGGAUUUUUUUUACAUGUCAGUUUGCUGCUGUAUGAAGAGCCAUCAAAGUAAGAAAGUGUGGCCUUAGAUUUUUUUAUAACCUUUAUGCUAUUAGAAUAUCCUUAUUGAGACCAUGAGUUUGAGUUCAAGCAUUGACUAUUCAUAGAUGAUCGAAAUUUCCGAGUUGAGUGUCCCAGUGCAUAUAUAUAUAUGAGUGUCAUUCGUUGGUGUUUGUGUUUUUGUUUGAAGUGCUUUUUACUGGGUAUCCAGAUCAAAAGUAUUCUCAGUAGUAGUUCCUUGCUUCAUAGCACGAGAUCUUGGCCAUGUUACAAGUGCAUCCUUUUGAGAAGAGUCUUAUACUUUUAGUUUGCUUAUAAUUGGAGGAAUUCGGGGACGAAUUCUUUUAAGGUGGUAGAAUGUAACAUCUUGAAUAUGUUUAUUGCGUUAGAAGUGUAAAGUGACAAAAUAAUAAUAAUUGUAAUUUUAUCCAUCACUCAAAUGAAUGAUCAGAGAUUUUAGAUGCGUAGAGCUCGUCGAAUGCUUUCAGUUGCACUACUCAUAUGUAUUGUUUGGAAUUUGGAUCAUGGAGAUAUAAAUUUCGGAAGUUUUAAGAAAGAAAAAAUAAACAGGUAGCGUUACGCUACAGUGCCGCGCCACUACAGUACCCGUGGUGGCCUUUUAUAUCCUCCUCUAAGGCCUUUAGGUUUCGUCCAUAGCUUUUCAUAUUCAGGAUAAAAAAAGAGGAGAGGGGAGAAAAGAGAAAGGAGUAGAGGGAAGGGGAGAAUAGGGCCUAGGGUUUUGCCGCCGCCGUUGCCGCCGCCGCCGUCGGUCAUCCGUGGUGGUCGUUCUUCCUCCCGUGGCGUAGAUCGGAAUAACAAGGCUUUUGUGGCGGCAAGGAUCGUGGCGAGUUGGAUCGGAGAUGAUGGAAAGGUGAAGAGGCGGAGAAGAAGGAGUAGACGCCGAGAGUUUUGGCGUCGUGCUCGCUGUGGUUCUCUAGGUGAGAAGCCAAAUAUUAAUCCCCUUCAUCUGAUCAAGUUUUGCGGAUUAAAUCGCUUAUUUGGGAUUGGGUUUAGUGGAGAAAUUCUCGAAGUCAUUUACGUUCAUGUUCUGAAAUUCUUGUCAGACUGAGCAGUCCGUGUUCAUCGUAAUGUUAGAGCAUUUUAGAGUCUUUAAUAAUUUUUGGGUCUGUGGACAAAGUUGUAGAGGACUUCAAUAUAUUUCUUUGGACGCCAAGAACUCUGUCAUAGCAGUUAUAAUUUGUGAGAUAUCGAGUUUUCAAUCUGACUGGUUUCCAGUGACGAAAAUCUGGACAGUUUUGGAUCUAAGCAGUUUCUGACCCUGUUAAUGAAAUAAUUAGGUCUUUGAUUAUUAACAAAGGUUUUAGGAUUUUUGUUAAGCUUUCUAGAUUGGUAAAGUUUGUAACUUUUUAAUAAGUAUAUCUCCUGUUAUGAAUUUUUGAGGUUUGAUGUUCUGCUUUGAAGGUCAGAAAUAUUCAGUUGUGUUCUAUGGUUAAUUAUACCAUCUUGCAGAUCUUUGAUGCAAAACCUUACAAUAAAAAAGUUGUAUAUAACAGAGUUUUACAUGAUUUGAUAAAUUGUGGUAAUUUUUGGAUGAGUAUUCUGAAGUAUAUGAAAAAGAGAAGAGUCGGUGCUGCUGUCUUGAUCGGUAGCGCAAACGGUAGAGGCUUGAAUGUCGGGUUUGGGGCGCUUUAGUGCGUAUUUGUUCUUACUCUUGCUUGUAUGUUGGUGUAUGUACUAAUUAGUAUUUGUGAUCAGGUGGUAGCACUUCGGAAUAUUGCUAGUGCUUUUGUUCUCCUUCGGUAAAGAGGCAAGUGAAUGUAGCGGUGGUUUGCUACCGUUUUGGCUUGUUAUUUUUAUCACCUACAGUUUAUUGUCUAUAAGAAUGUCACCUCUCUCAUAUCUAAAAUUUAUGAUUUGGGUAUAUUUAGUCUUAGUUAAAUUAUGGUCUUAUUUAAGUACUUAUGGUGAUGGUAUUAUUUUAUAUUGUUAUUUGUGGCUAGCCCGCAAACCUGAAUUUGAACUUGGAGUAUCAUUGGUGAUUUAUUAAUUUUAUUGCAACAUGCCAAGUGCAUUGCAUCAUUCAUUGGCAUUGGAAGUUAUGUCUUGACCUAUGGUCAUGACUGUACCGGUACGCAGCUCCACACCUAUGAUCAUGGGAUGCAGCUCCACACCUUGUUGGGUGUGCAGGCAGGAGACAUAUGCAUUGCAUUCAUAUACAUUCACGAGAAGUAUGUUAUUGAAGGGAUUUUAUCUACGUUAUUAUGAAGCUCUGUAUUAUUGGCUAUGUUCCAAAUUGGAAGACUGUUACAUUAGUAUGAUAUUUUGUCAAUUGGGAACAUCAUAUUAAAUUGAUGUUAAUUCAAAUUGUGGUUUAAAUAGCUUGUCAAAACAAGUUCGCUUGCUGAGAUGUUUCAUCUCACCCUUGCUUUACUCAAUCCAGGUACUUGAUGCUUACUUGGAAGGGAAGGGAAUUAGCUGCACGUCACACACUUAUUCAUUUAGAGACCUUGUGUUUUAAUAAAUAAUAAUUUGGUUUGCUUAUUGGUUUUGAAGGCGGUUGUUAAAGUGUGGGUGUUAAACUUAAUUCUUGUUGAAGUAACUUAUUUGCGUUAGGAUGUUCAUUAAUCCUAGUUUGGUAUUUCAGUAUUUUUUAUAUUUUAUUCUUCCGCUUGCUAUAAAUACAAAGAAGAUGCUGCCAAAUUGUUUAUUGGUUGUGUGCAGCUGUUGUUUGUGUAGUCUAGUAGCAUCCCGGUGUAUUUGUGGUUUUCGGGGUGUUAUAGAAUCUUUCUGAAUAAAUGUCUUGAUCUUAGGAGCAUGAUAAAUCUCUCAACAAGGGUCUAACUCAAUUUGAACAAACUCAAUACAGAGUAGAUAGCUUUUAUAAUGAUAAUUAAUAUUUUCAGUUUUAUCAAGCAUAUACAACACUGAGGAUGGUAGCUAGAAUUUUAAAGAUUUUCAAAUAAAUUCUCCAAGCAACAAUGAUAUCAAGAAUAAGAAACUCAUACUCUACCAUCUCACAUUCCACAAUGACUUUAGUAACACAGAGUUUUAAAAUGAUUUUUCAAUAAUUGCAAGUUUCAGGAAAUAUCACAAAGUGAGAUUAAUCAUGAUUAGAAACAUUUUAAUCUUUUUAAUUUAUCAUGUCGAAGACAAUAUUCUGCAUAAUCCAAGAUAUGUGUAUGUGUAAAGUAUGCAGAGUGUGUACCUGAAUCGUGGAGUGGUGUAGUCGAAGUGUGUUUGGCAUGUCGAGGGAUCUCCCCCAUACUUGUUUUCUUGAAUAACGUACCUUCGUCGUUUUGAAGUGUGAUAGCUCUGUGGGAUGAUGAAUUGAUUACCUUGAAUGGUCCUUCCCAUUUACUCCGGAGUUUUCCAUGCGCGAAAAGCUUCACCAUGGAAUAAAAAAGUAAUACCUUAUCUCCGGGUGUGAACUCCUUCUUCUUGAUUCUCUUGUCAUGCCACCUUUUGACUCUUUCUUUGUAGAUCUUUGAAUUGUGAUAUGCUUUCUCUCGCCAUUCUUCCAAUUCUGAUAGUUGCAUUCUUCAAUGAUUUCCAGUGACAUCUAUGUCCAUAUUCCAUCUUCUUAUGGCCCGGUGUGCUUUGAACUCUAGUUCAACAGGUAGGUGACAAGUCUUGCCGUACACCAAUUGGUAUGGAGACAUUCCAAUUGGGGUCUUGUAUGCUGUCCGGUAUGCCCAGAGUGCAUCGGGUAACUUGUCUUUCCAUGCCGUUCCCAUUUCAUUCACUGUCUUCUGAAGAAUAUUCUUGAUUUGCUUGUUGGAAGUCUCUGCUUGGCCACUUGUCUAUGGAUGAUAGGGGGUAGCAACGUUGUGACGGAUUCCAUAUUUUGAUAGAUAUUGCUUGAAGCGUUUGUCGAUGAAGUGUGCUCCUCCAUCACUUAUCACUACUCUGGGAACUCCAAAUCUUGGAAAUAUAAUUUCUUCAAACAUCCUCUUUGAACUGAUGUUGUCGGCAUGCUUGCAAGGUAAUGCCUCUACCCACUUGGAGACGUAGUCAACUGCUACCAAGAUGAUCUCACACUUCUUUGAUGGGGAAAUGGACCCAUGUAUUCUAUUCCUCAGACAUCAAAGAGCUCAAUCUGAAGGUUGUUGGUGAGUGGCAUGGCAUCCCUUGUGUUUAUGUUUCUGUACCUUUGACAUGGCCCAUAUCUUCUGAUAUAUUGCUUCGUGUCUUCAUACAUUGUAGGCCAGUAGAAUCCACAUUGCUAGAUCUUUGAACGUGUACGGAAUGCUCCAUAAUGACCUCCAUAUGGUGAUGAAUGACAUCUGUCGAUGAUCUUCUAGCCUUCCUCCGUGGUCACACAUGUCCUGAGUAAGCCAUCAGCGCAUACUCGGAAGAGGUAUGACUCAUCCAUAUAUGUCAACGACUUUCUUGAAUAAGCUUCUUCUUGUUUGCUCCUGGUGGUACAUACCCUGAAACCAUAAAAUUAACAAUAUCUGCAUACCAGGGGUCAGACUUGUUAAUCCCGUAGAGCAUGUCGUCCCGGAGUGAAUCAUUGAUGGGGGUUUCCUGUGGACUCUUAAAAUAUAUUCUAGACAAGUGAUCAGCAAUAGAAUUUUCUACUCUCUUUUUAUCUUUUAUUUCUAAGUCAAAUUCUUGAAGUAAUGAGAUCCAUCGAAUCAGGCAAGGUUUAGCAUCUUUUUUAGUGAGCAAAUAUUUUAGUGCAGCAUCAUCAGUGUAAACAAUUAUUUUAGCUCCAACUAAAUAAGAUCUAAAUUUAUCAAUGGCAAAGACAACAACCAGAAGCUCUUUUUUAGUGGUUGCAUAAUUAAGUUGAGCUCCUGUCAAAGUUUUACAGGCAUAAGCGAUUGCAUGAUGCUUCUUAUUUUUAGUUUGUCCCAAAACUGCCCCCACAGCAUAAUCACUAGCAUCACACAUAAUUUCAAAAGGCAAUGACUAAUCAGUGGGUUGAAUGAUUGGUGCAGAGAUGAGUGCAUUCGUUAAUAAAUUGAAAGAUGUUAGACAUGCAUCAUCAAAUUCGAAACGACCAUCCUUGGCUACCAAAAGAGUAAGUGGUCUAGCAAUGAAUGAAAAAUCUUUUAUGAAUCUACGAUAAAAACCAGCAUGGCCAAGAAAGCUUCGAAUUCCUUUUAUAUUCACAAGUGGAGGUCGUUGUUCAAUUACUUCAAUUUUAGCUUUGUCUACCUCAAUACCUCUUUCAGACACUAGGAGUCCCAGCACUAUUCCUUCCCUAACCAUGAAAUGACAUUUUCCCAAUUAAGGACUAAGUGCCUUUCUUCACAUCUUUGCAAAACCUUGUCUAAGUUUUCAAGACAACUAUCAAAAGUUUUUCCAUAAACAGAGAAGUCAUCCAUGAAAACAUCCAUAAUCUCUUCAAUCAUAUUAGAAAAUAUAGACAUCAUGCAUAUUUGAAAAGAAGCUGGUGCAUUACAUAACCCAAAAGACAUUCUACGGUAAGCAUAAGUUCCGUAUGGUCAUGCAAAAGUGGUUUUGCUUUGAUCAUCGGGAUGGAUCGGGAUCUGGUGAUACCCUAAAUAUCCAGCAUAAGUUCCGUAUGGGCAUGUAAAACUGGUUUUGCUUUGAUCAUCGGGAUGGAUCGGGAUCUGGUGAUACCCUGAAUAUCCAUCUAAGAAACAGAAGAACGAAUGGUUCGCUAAUUGCUCUAGCAUCUCAUCUAUGAAAGGUAAAGGAAAAUGAUCCUUUCUCGUGGCUUUGUUUAGUUAACUAUAGUCUAUGCACAUCCGCCACCCUGUGACGGUGCGCUGCGGAAUUAGCUCGUUCUUUUCCUUCAUAAUAACAGUCAUGCCUCCCUUUUUAGGCACAACUUGAACUGGGCUCACCCACUCACUGUGUGGCACAGGAUAUAUAAUCCCUGCAUGCAACAACUUUAUAACUUCCUUUUUAACUACCUCUCUCAUCGUGUUGUUAAGUCUACAUUGGGGUUCUCGAGAAGGUGAAACAGAAGGAUCUGUUGGAAUACGAUGGGUACAAAUCAUAGGACUGAUUCCUGUAAGAUCUUGGAGUGAGUAGCCGAAAACUGAGUGAUGUUUCUCAAGAAUGGUCAUCAAUCGCAGAGUUUGCUCCUGAGUGAGUUUAUCACUAAUGACCACAGGAAACUCUGGAUUAUUGUUUAGGAAAGCAUAGAUAAGACCGGGUGGUAAAGUUUUAAGCUCUAUGGGAGGUCUAGGUGUUUCUGCAAACUCAACUAAGGGUUCAGGUUCAGAAGGUUCAGCUUCUUCUUCUGUGAAGAAAGGAAUUUCGUCUUCUAAGUCUAGUUCAUCCAAAAGCUCUAGAGAUGCAGCCUUUACGUCCUCCAUAGGACCAGGCAAAAGAUAUGACUCGGCCUUAUUAUUUAAGGAGUGUGAAAUUGUUAUUAGAAAUUAAAAAGUUUUCCCAAAAGAAAUGUGUAGCUUUCCAGUAUGACCUUCAUAAAGGAGUCUUCUAAAAGGUUGUCCUAUCAACAGGUCGAAGUCCCAUGUAUCAAAGAUAUAGAAGUUUAAAUGAACCAUGGAGCCUUCUACCGUAAGAGGUAGGACAUUAAUAAUUCCAAGACUGGGGACUAAUCAUCGUGAAGAUUCCUUUAUGACCUUUGUUGUGGGGGUUAAGACAAGAUUUUUAAAUAAUUUAAGUGCAAAAGUUUCAGACAUGAUGUUGAUCCCCACAACAGGAUUAUAGAGAGCAUCAAAUCGAUCAGAAUCAUAAGCACAACAUAUAGUUAUAGAGGGUGUGUCCAGACGGAUCACCUCAGAGGAAAGCUCUGAUUCCUCCAACCACUCGCUACUCAUGACUGAGAUAAGCUCUCUCAAUUGAUGUUCAGUUGGUAAACAAAUGCUAAAAUGGCCGUUUUGGGGUCUGUUAGUAGAAUGGUAGUUUGAAUUGUUUCCAAAAUCGGCAAAAAGAUCAGAUUCUAUAUCCAGCAUGAAAUCCGGUGGUGGAAUUUCUUCCUUUUGUGGCUCAGAACUUGGGAUAGCUAAAGUAGAUGGAGAAUUUGGCAGAGUGUCUACUUCAGCUUCGUGGGUUUCAUCAUGAGGGGUAUUAUCCAUCUCAGCUUCUAGGAUUCUAUCUAAGAUCACUCUAGCAUCAUCAGUAGGGAUACGAAAGAAAGAACCUCUAGACAUUGUAUGUAGCAUUUGUUUGUGAUCUUUUUGAAGACCUUGAAAAAAGUGAAACAAAAGAACAUGGUCUUCAAGAUUAAGGUUUGGACCAUAUUCUAAAAGACCAGAAAAACGUUUCUAGGAUUUUCCCAAAGUUUCAUUAUCUUUUUGUUUAAAAGAUAGGACUUCGAGUCUAAGGUCACCGAUACGGUCGAGGGAAUAAAAAUCUAGACAAAAGCUGGCUCGUAAAACUCCCGAUUCACCUUGUUGACUUACCUUCUGACUGUACCAUUGUCUAGCUUCUCCCCUUAAAGAAAAAGGAAAAAGCUUUCAACAUAAAGUUUUAUCAGAAAUGCCUUCAAUGCGAAGACAAUCACAUGUUUGCUCAAAAUCUCUAAUAUGAAGGUAAGGGUUUUCGUCUUCCUUUCCUGAAAAAGAUAGGUUUUGAAUCAUAGCAAUCAACCUAGAACUUAACCUAUACUGGGUUGUUUGGAUAGGCUGUGAUGACUCCCAUGGUAAAAGGUCAGUUACCGAAGGUAUUGCAGAUUGAUAGAUCGAUUUGGAAUCUUGGUUUUCCAUAAGGUAAGAAUAAAGAAAAUAAAGAAUAUAAAAAGAUAAGAAAAGAUAAAAGUAUAGAUACAAGCUAGUACUAAGACUCAAGGUUAUCUCAGCAAACCGUCUUUCUCCCCGGCAACGGCGCCAGAAAUGCUUGUUGAUAUUUGGGAACACAAUAAGGAAUUGAUCCGCAAGCGCACGGAUAUCGGUGAGCACUUCACCCGGGAUGUUAUCCAGAGUAUCGUAUUUAUAUUUUUACCACUAGGAGAAAGAGUGCAUCUGACUAACCCAGUCUAUUACUACUAACCUUUACGCUACAAAGAAUGUUUCUUGAUGUGAGUGAUAUAGAGAGAAGACUACAACCGUAAUCUCUUUCUAACCUUGGUAAGGAUGAUCUACUGUUCUAUUAGGGUACCUUACAGAAUCUAGACACCACAGAGGAUGUUCAACCCGCACCUAUAAACCCUAUCCUUCCUGCUAACGAGAUAUGGUCUGCAAAGGUAACUCGGAAAUGUCACGUUCCUCGCUACUACCACGGUCCAGCUAGUCAGGGAAUAUCUAUGAGUAUCCUAGCCCAAACACCACGUCUACGCUACAAAUGAUUACUCUAAACUCUACGCGAAGAGAUUAAAGUAAACUCAUAAACCAAAGAACAAUAAAACAAGCUUUAGAAGUCGAAAUACUGAAGAAUCCUAGGAGCAAGCUUCGGGUUAGGAGAACUUGAUCCCACAGGUACAACCUCGGAGUAGACACCGACAGGCCGGGCUUCCUCCGAUCUACACCUCCACUCUAUCUCUCUCAAUCUAGUAGAAACUAAAAGAUCUAAUUCUACUCACAUUGGUUGCUAAGCCCUAAGUCUAAUUAGAGGAGAGGUAUUCCUUCGAGGGCUCCUCUCAACUCUAUGAUGACUUGUCUCGUCCAGGGGCCAGGGGGUCUGCUUUUAUAGUCCCCUCAGGUGAACGUGGGCCGUUGGAUCAAACCGACAUUGAUUGAAUGGUUAUCCUUGAUCCUUUAGGUCGGUGGAACGUGAUCCGCGAGUUUGGACGUGAUUGGGCAGAACUCUUGGGCGGCCGCCCUGCCCCCGAGCCGAUCGCCUUCUCGUUCAUUCCCGUGGCUUCUGGAGUCUUCUAGAUGGUAGAAAAUUGCACGGUGCAUUAAUAUCUCUAUGUAAUCCCGACAUGUGGGCAUUUCUUCCCUAUUUCCUGAUAACCCCCUGUAGAAACAGAUAAACAACAAAACUCGUAUAAUUCUGUCAGAUCAAACCCUAAUUCUAGGUCUUGUUUGUGUAUUGAUCCUUUCUCUUUUUUAUUUGUUAGUUAAAAUUGAUACUUAAGAACCGUCAACAAGUACUAAGACAAAAUCAGCUUCCAAACUUCUAUUCUUGGUGUUGGGUAUUCUUAACGUCAUUACCAAAAGUGGACUUAGUUUUCUAAUUCUGAUAACGGCGCCAAAAAUGCCAAACCUAUCCCUCAUACCACUUAAGCCAAGUUGUCAUUCCCAGCAUGAUAUGAGAGACGCGGUAUGAAAUAUGCAAUUGCUCAUCUAAAAAAAUAAUAAAUGGGAUCUGCAAGCGCACAGAUUAAUACUGAUGUAGCAUUUUAACCGAAAAGUAUUCCAGGUAUCGUUAUUUAUAUUUUUACCACUGGGAAGGGAUUAGCAAUCAUCAAUGUUGAUUAUAGAAUGGAAUAUAAGAUUGAGUAUCUAUCAUUGCAUAUAUAAUUGAGAACAAUUAUCUAUCUCUUUCAUGCAGGGAUAAGUGUCACAUAAAGGAUAUAUAAAGUAAUGAAUAGUGAUAAAGAUAAUUAAUCUAAUCAGUAUAACUUAGCCACAUAUAAAUAUGAUAAGCACCUCAAAUAGAUAUUCUAGCAAGUCAUUAGCAUGGAAUUAGGAUGAACUACAAGAAUAUUUCCUAAGUUAUUCUCAACUAUACAGUCUAGCAUAUCAUAGUUAGUGCAAUUAUACUUAGCAAUCAUUGCGAGACAGGACUACGCCCAUGCAUAGUGAUAUUAUCAAGGAAUAUGACAAACAUCGCAAUCUCUCCCCUGUAAUAAUGUUGCUCUGCCAGCCCAAUACACGAGAGGGGGACUAUAUAAGAAUCAAUGGAGUUGUCACUACCACGAACUACCCUGUGAUCUGGCAUAUAGGGUACAAUCGCAGAUAAAUACGGUAUAAACACCACGCCUACACAAUAUCUAUCAUUUACCCAUGGAUCCGAUGGAUAAACGCUAUACGAUCCUAAACAUGUAUAUAAAUCCAAUCUAACUAAGCAAAGUAUAUAACUAUGAUAAACUAAGAACAAUAUAAUUGCGAAUAUAAAUAAGUAGAGCAAAGUCAUAACCAAUAUAUUGAAGUAGAACAAAGUCAUAUUCAUAAUAUUGAAGAACAAAGAUGAACAAUUGAAGAACAAUAGAGGAUUACCAAGAAUCUUCUUGACAGAUCCGGAAACCUAUCAAAGAUUGACUCCUUCUAGUUCUAAUCAUAUGUAGCUAUGCUAAUCUAGAUAUCUAAUUGAUGUGGUGGCUCUAGGCUUGAUCAGAGGCUUCUUAUCCCUUGAUGAAUAAUGAAUUAGGGUUGAGAGGUCCUCUCCUCCAGGGGCCAGGGGGUCUGGUUUUAUAGUCCUUCCAAGUGAAUAUGGGCCGUCGGAUCAAACCGACAUUGAUUGAACGGUUAUCCUUGAUCCUUUAGGUCGGUGGAGCGUAAUCCCGAAAGAGAGUCCUGAUUGGACUCCAGAGGGGGGUGGGCGCCCUGGUCCCUAGGGCGGGCGCCCUGGGCCAGGCUCCGUUCUGCCUCCGCUUUGUUCCCAUGGCUUCUGGAGUCUUCUAGAUGUAAGAUAAUUGCGCGGCACGUUAAUAUCUCUAUGUAAUCCCGACAUUUGGGCUUUUCUUCCGUAUUUCCUGAUAACCCCCUGUAGAAAUAGACAAACACCAAAACUCGUGGAAUUCUGUCAGAUAAAACCCUGAGUCUGGAUGUUGGUUGCAUUUGGAUCCCUUUCUUUGUUUAUUUGAUAAUUAAAUUUGAUACUUAAGGACCGUCAACAAACUCCCCCAAGCUUGCCUCAUGCUCAUCCUUGAGCAAGGAUAGUCUCAGCGAUGGAUCAGAAGUUGUUGUAAUGCCUUUAAAAAUUGACGGUACACAUGCUUUUAAAUAAGAUCUCAUCUCUAAGUUAGAGUAUACUGUCAAGACUUAAAACUUAUUCAUUUUACCUUUCACCAUGGGACUUGUAACCGUCACUUCUGUCUUGAGUAGCUAAAAGAUAGAACAGUCUAGUCAAGUGCCAUGUCUCUUAUUCUUGAUCAGCUAUAGCUCUAGAGUUUUUGCAGGUUUUCAAAUAAAACUCAGAGAUUCCUUGUAUGACUCUCUCAGAUCUCGCUUUUGUGGUAUUUCUGGAUCCUUACCAAGGCAGUGAUGGUAUACGCCUUCUCUCAAAAUAUGUAGUAUUUGUGGUAUAAGGCAUAGUGAUAUUGCCUUCUCUCUCACCCUACUCUAAUAAGGCUUUAAUAUCUGGAGCUCAUAGGUGGGAGAUAAAGUAUAGAUACUAACAAGACAUUUAUUGCAUAGUCAAACCAUGGAUCCAAAGAAACAAGCCAAUAAGUCAAAUUAAGAUGUGCAUGUUUGGCAAAUGAAUGGUGUAUGGUGAUGAUGGUGGUAACAAUGGUGAAACCCUAAUUCUACUUUUGCUAUUUUGAGGGGAUACAUACCUUUCUUGCUCUUUGAAACUUUUGGAGGUUGAGAUGCUCUAUAUUUUCUUUUUCUUUCCACUCAGGUGGGUAUUUUGUACCCCUAAUUCUAAUAUCGGACACUUAUCCAUUUUUACCUCUCGUCUCACUUUUUCUCUUCUUUCGAGGUUCCGGGCACUUGCCCCUUUUUAUUUUCUCGUAUCUUUUUUUUCUUUUCUCUCUUUUUUUAGAGCACUCAUCUCCUGAAAUAAUAUAGCAAGUGGUAGUAACCAAGAUAACUUGAGCAUUUAUUUCACAGGGAAAAAACAAAAAUAUUUUUUUGGCUAUUCUCUCCUGGAUUAGGAGUAGAAUAUUUUUGGGUGGUUCUAGGGAUGGAAAUGGAUGGAUAUAUGUGGAUGGUACUUUCGGAGUAGAAGUAGCAUAUGUGAGUGAACGUGCAAGUAAAUCUUGAUUUAACCACAUGACAAGCUCCUAAGGGUCUACACAGCUGGACCACACUCAAUGCUCAUAAGCAGUAAAGUAAAUGUGUAGCUCAAAGUCUAGCAAACAUGUAUAUAUGGCUGUGGUAGGAAUUUAAACUCUCAUCAUACAGGAACUCAUCAUGCAAUAUUUUAAAGGUUUUAAAAGAUAAAAUUCUCCAGAAUUCUAGCAUCUCUAGGAAUAGAUAAACAGCAGCUCAACCUUCCCAUAUCAUAUCUGUUAACAACUUAGACUUUAGAUCGAGUUUUCUUCCCACAAGUUUAGGUUUAGAGCAAGCUUUAAGUUAUAACAGUUAUGUCUAAACUUGAGAGAGAACUUCAAAAUUUUAAAAUUAGGCAGAGCAACUAUUCAUCAUAUCCAUGCUAGAGUUUCAUUAUUAAGAUUCAGUUUAGCAUAGCUAAUUUAUUUAUUUAUUAAACACACUAAGCAAAAGAUAUAUAUAAGCAUAAAAUAUUUAUUUGGUUUUUCAUAGUUAUGUAUAUUUAUAUUUUAAUAUAGUAUAAGUAUAAAGAUAGAUAGAAAUACUUAGCGGGAUAAAUGGGGGUGCUCUCCCCCGAGCUGAAUUUUGACGUAAUUUCUUCUGAUGUAGCUAGCAGGUGGCCGAGGUGUAUUUGAAAGUCGGCAGUACCCUGACAGCGAUUAGAAUGUCCUCCGUCUGUUAGUCUUCUUGAUCCUGAAACUCUGUGGAGCUCAAAUAGACAACAAAGCUUUGUGGAACUGAUUAGGUGUUAGCAUAAAUAUCUAGCCUUUAUCAUGUCGAGCCUCCUCAAUAAAUAUUACUCUUUAUUUUUGUAUUUUCAUUUUUAUAGAGCAGAAAAAUAUUUAUUUUAUUUUUAUGCCACCACAGUGAAUGUACUUAUGGGUUUUAUGCCACUCGUAUACUCACAUGGGGCUUACUGUUUUUUUACAUUUUUAUUUUCUUUUUUUAGGAUGGUAUGAACAUAAUUAACUAAGUAAACUAUUUUAAAUAAUCGAAAGGGGAAGGAUAACUACCAAGUUUAUCUCUUGGCAAGGCGUUCGGAGUUUUUAAGUCCUCCGAACGGGACUCUCCGUUUUCUUAGUUGUCCUGGGAUUCGUUGGAUGGCGGAGUCGGUGCUUCCGGCGGCGCCUCUUCUUCAUGUAUAGUUAUCUUCUCUCUCCACACCUGACUUGGCGCUACGGUCUCCUCUGGAUAAUUCUGUUCAAGCUGUAUGUCUUCUGAUCUUAUAACUUUUCCUUCGUAGUCUGCCCAUCUGUCCUUGAUGAUUUGCCUCCUCUGGUUGCGGUUGCGUCGUUUUCUUCUUGUCCUGACCUGCUUAGAGUCUUCAACGAUAUAGUUAGGGUCUGUAAAAUAGCGGCAUACCUUCUCUGAGGGGAAGUGCAUAUGGACUUCUCCAGUUCCAAUGUAGAUAAUUGCUAUAACGGUGCUGAGGAACGGUCUUCCAAGGAUGAUGGGUGGAUCGUAUUCGUCUUCUCCCAUGUCAAUAACCUAAAAGUCUGUGUAGACAAAAUGAUCGUCUAUUUUGACAGGGACAUGAGUUACUAUUCCUUCAACCUCUCGAAAUGUCUGAUCUGCCAUCUAGAGUUGAAUGUAUGUUGGGUUUAAGGGCAUGGUUCCGAACAAGAGUCGAUAGGUGACUGCGGCCAUUAUGUUGACGCCCGAUUCGGUGUCGCAAGUCGUAUUGUAGAAGUUGUAUCCAUUUAUGGAGCAAUAGAUGCUUGGCAUUCCUGGGUCGUCCUUCUUGGUCAGAAACGGUGACUUAAGUCAGUGAUCUUGUCUUUCAUGAACUGCAGUGACCAUCUUAGCUGACUCGGUCCACACUUGCUUGUUCCUGUUCCUCCUGUUGGUCCUCUUCCUUGGUUCAUGUCUGGAUUGCUCUAGGAUUUAUGUAGUCUUGUUCCUGAAGGAAAAUGUCUCCUUCCUCCCUUUGAUGUAGAAACUGAUCUUGGAAGCACUAGCAUAGAUGACAGCUCCCGAGGUGUUUAAGAAUGGCCUCUCUAAGAUGAUGAUUGCUCUCUCAUCAUUACCGGCCUCUAUCACAACGAAGUCUCCUGGGGCGUACAAGGUACCAACUCAGACAUAGAGGUUCUUCAAUAUUCCCUUUGGAAAACUUAUCGUCUGAUCUGCAAACUGCAAACACAUGGUUGUUUCUAAUAAAGGAUAUGUAAAGAAUUUUUCAUAGAGUACCCUGGGCAUCAUGUUGACACUAGAGCCACAGUCGUAGAGUGCUUCUGGGAGGUCCACCAUGCCGAUGGAGAUCGGGAUGACGGGGCGUCCUGGAUCGCCUCUCUUGACCGGCAGAAGGUCAGUAGUAACUUCAGUGACGGGGUUACUCCAGUAGUUACCUGCGUCAAACAUGUCUACAAGAUUUGCAGAUUCUAAUCCUUCCGGUUGUGAUGGUAUACCGGGGUUAGUAGCAGGAACAGCAACAUCUAUUUGAUUUAACUGAGAUUCAAUCAUUUUUAUUAAAGCUAAUUUGAUUCUUGAUGGCAGUAGAGAAAUUAUCCAUUCUAUUAUUUAUAUUUUCUAGCAUUUUAUCAUUAGAUGCCAAUUUCUUAGAUAGGUUAUCCAUUAGCUUUCCUUGAUUAGACACUAACUCUCUCAGAGGUGGAAAAUUAUUAUUAUUGUAAGAAUUGUUACCUUGAUAAUUACCUGAGUAGUUAGGCCUCUAUUGAUUCCAACCUUGAUUUUGUUGAGGACGGUUGUAGUAGUUGUUGUUGUUAUUGUUGAUGUAGUUCACAUCCUCAAGCAUCUUAGGGCAGUGAUUGCCUGAGUGUCCAGUAUCUCCACACUCCUCACAAGUCAUGUUAGAGUCGUAGAUGUGCAUAACUUCUUUCUUAUCUCCAGCUCUAUCAUGGAGCUUCUUCAUGAGCAGGUCAAACUUUGCAGACAGCAUGUCUACCUCCUUGAGCUGAUGCAUACCUCCACCUUUCUUGCGUGUCUGGGUCCUUGUUGACGGUCCUUAAGUACAAAAUAUAAUCAUCAAAUAAAUAAAUAAAAGGAUCCAAAUGCAACCAACAACCAGACUUAGGUUUUUAUCUGACAGAAUUCCACGAGUUUUGGUGUUUGUCUAUUUCUACAGGGGGUUAUCAGGAAAUAUGGAGGAAAGACCCACAUGUCGGGUUUACAUAGAGAUAUUAACGUGCCGCGCAAUUUUCUAUCAUCUAGAAGACUCCAGAAGCCACGGGAACGAACGGGAAGGCAAUCGGUCCCGGGGGCAGGGCGCCCGCCCUAGUCCUUAGGGCGCCCGCCCUCCUAUUCUGCCCAAUCAGGGUACAACUCGGGGAUUAUGCUCCACCGACCUAAAGGAUCAAGAAUAACCGUUCAAUCAAUGUCGGUUUGAUCCGACGGCCAGAUUCACUUGAGGGGACUAUAUAAGCAGACCCCCAGGCCCCUGGAGGAGGCACUCCAUGAUCCCUAUUCAUUAUUCAUAGACAGAGCAAAAGCAAGGGUUUGGAGAUGAGAGCUCUCCUCUCAUCUCUAAACUAGAGUAGAUCUAGAUAGUAGCGAGAUGGAGAGCGAGGGAGGAUUGGAGGAGAGGCCGGCCUGUUGGUUCUUCCUCCGGUUGUAUUUCGCCAUGAUCAAGCUAUAAUCAAGCUUGCUCAUAGGAUGACUCUGGUAAUCUACUUCUAAUUCAUUAUGCAAUUACUAAUCAUGUAUGUUCUGGUUCACAACUCUUUUGAGUACUUCUAAUCUAUAGGACCCUAUAGGUUAGAGUUGUAGUAUAGGUGUAAGCGUGGUGCUUAGACCUAGAUUACUUGUGGAUAUCCCCUGUUUAGCUGGAUCGUGUGGUAGGCCGCGUAGGUGACAGUUACGUUGGUCCCCUGUAGUCCACCUCCUGUUAGAAGGACGAGUAGGGUUUAUCGGCCUAUGGAUAAGCAUCCUUUGUGGUGUAUUCUUAUCACGUGGUUCGUCCCAGACAUAGACAUACCCCUUUGAAGUAGAGAAACCAUAGUUAUCCUCUCUAUUCUGCUACCAUCGACCAUAUACUAGAUUGCUCUACUCUCUAUUCCCAUAUUAUCACCCAUUGUUAUCUUACCUUUAAUAUUGUUCUUAUUCAAUUCUACCAUCUUUCUUAUUUACACUUAUCUAUCUAUCUUGGUUAAGUUAGAGCGUAGUUGAUUCCCCCGUUUCCCUGUGGAUACAAUAAACCUUUAACCGGGUAAAAGCUACAACGGUAUGCGUACGCUUGCGGAUUUAUCUGUGUGCGUAUAAAUACCAUAGUAUACUCUUGUGCCAUGCUGGGGAUGACAACCUAGUAUUCAAGUGGUGUUAGCAAGUGUCAACAAGCAUUUUUGGCGCCGUUGCCGGGGAAACGAUUGCUGAGUUGACUACGAACUAGCUUUAUCAUUUUUCUAAAAAAAAUAUAUAAUUAAAAAAAUUCCUUUUAUCCUUUGCCUCAACUCUGCUAAUCUUUCUUCUUAUCUAAUCCUUGAUCUCUGGUCUAUCAUGAAUUCAACCAUGUCUAUCUAUCAGUUUCAUAGACCUACGGGCACACAUCUCGAACCCCCCAAAAUCUUCAAAGCCUAUCAUAGCAUCUAGUUUUGAGAUAGACCCCGAAUACAUAGAAUUUGUUCAAAAACAACCUUUCUCAGGAGAAAGUGAGGAAAACCCAUACACCCACCUAAGAGAGUUUUAUCGAGUCUGUGACCUCCUUCGCAUAGAAGGCAUGUCCGAUGAGACCCUUAAAUGGAAGCUCUUUCCGUUCACUUUAAUAGGAAAAGCUAGACAUUGGUAUAAACUCAAAGUAGGGAGUGUUCAUGGAGAUUGGAAGGAGUUACAUAAUAGUUUUCUUUUAAAAUAUUUUCCAAUCUCUAAAGUGGCGGAACUUCGGCGUGAGAUUAUUUCUUCACUACAAGAAAUACAUGGCUUUUUAACGUUUUUAGUGUGACAAUUAUAAGAACGUUACUAUAUCAUCCAUUUUGUGACAUUAUAUUUUAGGCAUAGUGACUUAGUGACAACUAAAAGUUGUAUGUCACAAUAAAUGUCAUUUAACAAGUCUGAUUUCAUCUAGUGACAAUAUUUUCUAUGUCACAAGGUCUAUUUGUGUGUCACAAAUUAUUUCAUUAAUUUUUUUAAAAAUACUAUCAGCAAUUUCAUCAAAGUUUGGGUAAAUCUAAUUCAUAUAAUCUCGUUAAAGUUUGGGUAAAUCUAAAAAAAUUCGACGCAAAAGAGUUUUGAACCUAGGAUGUCAAAACUGCCACACUAAGGUGCUUAACUAGUUGGACUACGAUUUGUAAGUAUUUUUUAUUUCAUUUUUAGUUUUUUUUACCUCUGAAUGCAGGAUGUAGGAGAAAAACAAAAGACACAUAGAAAGCAUAAAAUUAAGGUGUACACUUGAUUCGAACCUUGGACCUGUUGCUCCAAAUCAGAACAGCCUAACCACUUUGAUGGUUUUAAUCUGGUGCAAGAUGAAACAUUUUUAACUCCUUUCUCUCUGCAGACUCGACGUAGGAAUAGAACUAUCAAAAUCAGCCAGUGUCAUCCCCCAAACCCUAACUCAACCGCAUAGAGUCUCCACCCCCAUCAGCCGCCACCGUCUCAUCUCGCUCUCACACCUCACGGACAGCACCCAGCCUCGCUCUCCUCUCGGACCCUCUUCAGCACCGUCGCAAGCUCACGGGGGCACCACCCCUGCCGCAGCCGCCGUCAUCGCCGCCGCGGCUGCCGUUCCUGCCUCGGCGAACUGAGGCGUGCACCCCGCCGCCGCCGGCGCGAGCCACGCCCCCACGUCGUCCUCAGCUUGGCACCUCCAUCCCAGUGGCGACCUGGGCUUGGUUCUCCCCGCCGGCGAGCUCUGACGAUGCCGGUGACCUCAGCUCGCCCCUUCCUCUGCCUCCUGUAAGUGACCUAGGCCCCUUCCUGGACAGCGCCCCCACUUCCUCCGAGUUUCUCCUCUCCUUCCCGUACGGUGCCAAUCCUCUCUGGUUCCUCUAUUUUACUAACAAAAUCACGGAUCUGUACAUUUUAUUAACUGAAUCACGGAUCUGUAAUUUGCUCUAGUGGAACAGCAGGUUGUCUGAGGUGUACAAGAAGAAGGUGCUCCUUGGACUCUGCCCUGAUAAAAGCUGCACCAUCUACAGAUUUUUGCCUAGCUGCUGGUUCUCUAUUCAUUCCCCAUUCUGCCGUGUCGAAUGCUACUCCAUUCAGGGCAGCAAGGUAUGACAUUUUUGUUGACUUACUAGAGGUGGACCAUUUUGUAAACAGUAGAAGAAAACUAUGAGACAGACUGUGGAACCGAAUAUCUCUAGUCUAGCAUUUUGGCCAAAAUUGUGUAUUUCAACUUAGCUUCUGUUAGCCAUGAAUUGUGUGUAAAAUGGCAUGACCUGUUGAUAGAUUGUGUGAAAAAUUAUUUCAUUGUGCACAGAGGGAAUUGAAUAUUUUAGUCUGCAGAAAUAUUUUUGACUGACAAGCUUGCUGUUUUUCUUCUUGCUUUGAACAGGACCUCCGGAUAGGUAUUAGUGGAUUUAGGAUUUAUACCCACAUAAAAUAACUUCUUUGAUGCUUAUAUCGGUCUACUCUUUGACAGACCGUCCGCUUUACUUUCUUGUGUUCUACAUUACCAUUAAUUUUUUUUUGUUUGACUAGAAAUUAAGCUUCUUCUAAUGCCUGAAGAAAAGACUAUAUUGGAUCAGCACAAGACCCCUGACGUACUAGAAUAUCAUCAGUUAUGGUCUUCCAGGUUGUCUGUAUAAGGAUAUGCAAUGUUUUUGUUUUAGCUGAUUUUAAUUUCAAUCACUAUGCCAAUGCACACUCUGAUGUCAUGCUUUUACUUACUGGUGGAUGGGAUGCUUCUGGAACGGUAGAGUCCUCUACUUUUGCUUAGUUGAAUUUGAGACCUAUCUUUUUUUGUGCAAAAAUGCAAAUAUGCUUGAGCUUGGGACAUAUAUUGGAUAAGAGAUUACUAAAUUGAAUUAGAAAAGUUUUCUAAUGAACAGAAAUGCAAAUAUCCUCUAAAUACCUUAACCUCUAAUUUUUCUGUAAUCUAAAAUAUAUACAUUUUUUUGGUACCAACAAAAUAUGUAUACUUUGGUUCUUUCAUUUGUAUUACCAGAUAUCACAGCAAGAGAUGCAACAAGGAUGAUGAGUUAUUUGCUUAUGUUAAUUAAUUUCUGGGUAACCGUUCUCAUCCCUUAUUUCUGUGUGUUUUCAAAUGGUUUAUGUGUUGUUUUUUUAUUUUCAGAUGGUAUACUGUAUCUAAACUCAUUUUAUUGAAGACGACCUUUUUUCCUUUUGCAGAACCUUAAGGCCUUUGCUUCAGCGGACUUCGACAAGGAACUUGGAGGGCAGUUUUUGUUUUCAGAUCAUGACAACAUGUAAGUGGCAUCUAUGUCUUUCAUUUGCUGUUAUUUCGUAGCAUUUAACUUUUUAGUUUUGAAUGAUGGCCUUAGAAUAAUUUCGAUGUGUUCUGUAAGCAAUUGUGGCAUGUUGUGUACACUACAUGUUAAUAUUUGUGAUUGUAUAUUAUGAAAACAUUAUAUGAAUUUACCUGAUAUAGUUUUUAUAUGAAUUUUAAAGUAUGACACCAUUCUUCACAAAAUAAUUACUAUAACUUAGUGCAGGUCCUAAUCAAAGUUGUUGAAAAUAUUCAGAAGGGCAUAUAAGGUGCUUAAUGUAGAAAUCAGUUGCAUUUGGCUGCGUGUGUGGGGUGCAGAUUGGUGGUAGUGGUACUAUUCCUUUUGUUUGUGCUGAUUCGGAGACCUACAUACAUCUCAUUCUAAUUUCACAAUAGAUUAGAGAGUGUUACAAACUCAAAGCUUUGUGCGUUUUCUUCGUUUAAAGAAAGACAAGGAGCCCUUCUUGUGACCCAAGCAAAAUCUUAUAAAAUCUUAGAAAAUAAGAAGUACAAUCACGUAUACUGUUACGUGCAAAUUUAAAGAAAGACAAGUUCUUCUUGUGACCCAAGCAAAAUCUUAUAAAAUCUUAGAAAAUAAGAAGUCACACAAUCACGUAUACUGUUAUGUGCUAAUAUUUAAUCUUGAAUAUACAAAGGAAUGGAAUGAAGAUAUCAUUUGUCUUGUUACUAUGAAUGACCUCACCCAUGAACCGUUAACCAAAAUCCAUAUACAGUUGUUUUAUAGCACUAGAUUCAUUAAAUUUUUUGAACCAUUGCAUUAUCCUUUCAGAAUGUUAUGAGUGUGAGUACGUUUCUUGGCGAUUGGAAAUCACUACAUACGUAAGUAACUUAGCAAAACUUACCGUUUCUUAGAAUUAGAGGUUAGAUAAAAGUAAAGUCCAAUCAUGACCUUUGUUAUUAUUUCUUUUCUAGAAGCAUAUAUGUCAUUGCCAAAAUAUAAAUGGUUAGAUUUAUCCAAAGUUACCUCUGUAGUGUUUAUGAAAGGUGCAUGAACAUAGUAGUAAAGGAGAAUUAUGAUCUGUAAUGGGAUGGUGAGAGUAGUAUGGUUGAGUAAUUGAGUUGUUAAAUCUGUGCUUUUAUUGACUAGUUAGUAUCUUUUUAUAUUUACCAGCUGCUAUGUGUUACCAUACAACCUUAGGAUUAAGUGAAAUCAAGUUGGUGUGCUCUAUGUCAAAUUAGGAUGAAAUUUCAAAUAUUGCUAUGAUGGUGCUACUUUGUCAUGGUCAUUGGUUCUCGACUUGGAUUGUGACAUUCACCAUUUGAUUCUGCUAAAGUAGCUUCUGCCUGUGGAGAAUCUGCUUCUAAGUUUUCAAGGUUUUUUUACUUCUGGCACCUUUCCAUGUAACUUUGUUUAGACUGCAUUAGUGAUAAAUGGAACCUUUGGUUUUCAGGUCAGAAUGAGCUUAGAUGUACACUGGUGCAGGCAAGAGGAUCAAAGUACUCAUGGUGGCUAUUUUAGAAAGUUUUUGUUAUGCAAGCAAAUCAUAUGAGUUGUAUUGUGCGAGCUACCCUCUUAGUUUUGUAGCUACUUACAUGUAGCUUGCUUAUUGCUUUUGUAUUUCCUAUAAAAAAUUGUACAAGUACAAAUGUUGAUGGUUUCAAUGAAAAGAUGACCAAUAUUUUUGUCAAUUCUGAGCUUUCUUUCAAUUUAUGUGUAUUUCAUGAGCGUGCCACAAACAUAUGCGCAUGAAUAAUGGGCCAUAAAUAGGCUACUGACGUGUACUAGAAUUAUGAUGGUUGUGACAUUUUUUGUAGUGUUUGUGACAUUUUUUUCCCUGCCAUGUCAGCUGCCACGUGGCAAGGCCUAUGAUUUUGUGACAAUAAACCAAUGUCAUAUGCUUGUGACAUGAACCAAACAAAUGUCACAUAAUCAGUUUAUGACGCGGGCUUUUCCACGUUUUGGUUUUUUUCAACUUGAUGUCACAAAUCUUAAUUUGUAACAUAAAUUCCAUAUAUUGUGACGUAACUAAACGUUAAAAAGCCAUGUGUUUCUUCUAGUGCUUUUAGACAACUGAAAGAAGAAUCUCUUGGCAAAUCAUCGGACCGCUUUAUUAACCUUACUCUCACUGGCCCAAAUCUUUCUAUUCCACAAGAAGUUCUUCUAAUUCACUUUUUUGAGGGCCUUAGUAGGAAAAAUAAGCAAACCCUUCAUACAGCUUCCGGAGGAUCUUUCCACCACCUAUCCGCUAGUGAUGCUUGGAAUUUGAUUGAUUUAAUGAGCAGAAAGUCUCCUAGCUUUUAUAUCCAUGAGAAAGAGAAAGAACUAGUUCCUAGACAAGAAGAAGUUUCGAUAGCCAGAUCACAACCACUUCAAUUCCAAACUUUAGUUCUCCAAGGGAGGAAGGAAUUCCGACCUUAAAUCUUUCAGAUACUGAUGGUUUAGACAUCUGGUUCCAUAAGAGACCUUCAAGUAGGGAUAAUUCAAAUCCUUGCAAUAAUGUUUCUCUUAGAGAAUGUCCUGGUUCCUUUUAUUAACAAGUCGAGGAUGACAUAUCAAGUGAAGGAGAGCUAAGCCAUAUAGAAAAUUCUAUCAGCUCCCCUUUCCUGAUCACAAGUUCUAAAUGGCUAGAAUGUGUCGAAUGGAUGGAUAAGGAAGAAGCCUUAAUGGAUUCUGACUUUGGCUCAAUUUCAAAUGGUGAGUUCUUGACUCCCUUUGAAAAUGGGAUUCAUCCAACUAUAGAAGAGGACAUAAGUGAGACCAAUCCAGGAGAAACUCUGAACAUUCAGAUUGGAGACGAAGAUAACAUUAAAGAGCAUGGAAUUUAUUUCAUAGCCACUUCGUUUACUCCAUGCUCAUAUGCAACAUCUUCCCAAUCUAUUGGUCUCUCCGACGUCACCACACUUGAGAUCUCCAACCCCCUCUUCCUUUCUAUUUAUAAAAACUUUAAAAGGGCGGUUGUCGAUGCAUAUGUCUAUAAUAAAUAUUGCAGAUCUCGUUGAGUUGAUCUUGAUAUAGGUCAGUGUAGGAAGGGAAACCACUUCGCCGAUAUAAAUUGAUGGUUUCCCAAGGACAAGCUUAGUGUCUUGAAAUAAGCACUGAUCAGAUUGUAACAUGAGCUUUUAAUUAUUUGCAACAUUACCUUGUGUAUUGAGCAUAUAAAGAUAAUUGUAAAAAUAUUCCUUCAGGUAUUCUUGUCACUAACCUUUCCAGAAUUGGAGCAAGAAGAUUAGAUGAAUGACAAGCACAAGGUAUGUCCAACCAAUCAUCAUACAACAUUGAAUUAAAUCCAAACUUGAAAUUUUGCAAAAUUCAAGCUUGGGUGAUACUUUACAUAAAAACAUCUUUUGCCAUGUUGCUAUGUUGGUUGUCCCUACCUUUGAGACAUGCUCAAUUUGUUAAAUACUAAUCACACUACUUCAUCUCCACUUGAGUAGAUCUCUAUAAUUGCCAUCACGCUACCUUUGUUUAUCCUAGUAAGUGUUAGUUUGGAAGUACUGCACAUACUUCUAUUGGCUUUUAAAUUAAGCAUGGUGCUUAGGUUAAACAGCCUUCCAUAAUCUAAUUAGACAUGGAGUCUAGUUCGGUUAUUGAACUAAAAACUGCUUGUGUAGACAUUCACUACACCACAACACCACAUCGCCGUCAGACAUCUAACGCUAAAACUUUUUUUUAUUGUUGGAUGAUCUGACGCUAAAGAUGAUCAAGAAACUAUCUAACGCUAAAUCCAUAUUUGGCGAUUGAAUGUCUGACGCUAUAUAUAUUCAUCUAUAACGUUGAACUGUCUGACGCUAAAACCAUAUACACCAUUAGUCUGUCUGACGCCAAAACAUAUGGGCCCCAACACACACUUUCUCGCGCCCUACCUUAUUCAGCUCCCGCGCUAAUUUUGGUCUGGCGGCACACAAGUUAGAAACCCUAGGCCCUUCUGCCCCCAAAUCCCAAAUCACUCGCCGCUGCCCCAUCCUCAUCCCUUCCGACCGCGCCGUCGCCCUCCCUUGCGAGCCCAAUGCCGUCGCCCUCCCUCCCUGCCUCACUCGUACCCCAAAGUCUCCCAGCGCCGUCGCACUCACCUUCGCAAACCCAGAGUCGUCGCCCUCCUCACGAGCCCAGCACUAUCACCAUCGCGAACCCAGCGACGUCGACCUCCCUCGCGAACCCAGCGCUGACGCCCUCCCUCCCUGCCUCACUCGCACCCCCAAAUCUCCCGCCCUCCGUCGGAUCCCACCCCACCCAAGUCAUGCUCGCUGCUCUCUUGGAGCACGGACAGUGAAGGACGCCCUGGAGCAAGUGAUGGCGAUGGUGGAGGACGUGCUUCCUUGAGCACUCGACGGUGGAGGACGCGCCCCCUGAGCUCGCAACGGUGGAGGACGCAACUCCAAAUCUGACCGUGCCACUGCAUCGCUGCUUCUUUUCCUAGUAAGCAACCCAUUGGAUCGAUUGCCUUCACAAUGGAAUCCGUUCCAUAGAAUCUAUUUAGCUACCCUGAGAUCUGAAAAUGAGAUUUUUUAUUUUGCUGUCCAUCCUUCAGUUUGUGUCUGCAAAUAUAGCUAUAUAAUCUAUAACUAAAUUAGAGCAGCACCUUAGUCGGUGAUGUAGCCUGUGAUGCAGCCAACUAAAAAAUGCUUCCAUUCGGUAGUAUCUAUUUGGCUGGCUAUUCUGAACACUGCAUCAGUUUGUGUAUGUGAAUAUAGGUAUGAUCUAUGAACUGAAUUGGAACAACACUUUAGUCUAUGAUGCAGCGAACUAAAAGAAUGUGAUGUGAUGAAGCCACCCACCCGCUAAAAAAUCAAGUGGACCUUAGUUUGUGAUUUGGGAUGCAGCCAACUAAAAAUGCAAAUCCGUCGAAGUCGCAAGUCGCGGCAUUAUUCGCACAAAAAUCGCGCGCUUCGCGGCUGGUGGGAUUUGAACUCGUGAUCUCACUCUCACGCGUACCUUCCUCUACCACUACGCCUCACACUUACUUGUGUAUAUAAUGGAUCCAUACUUGAUUUAUAGUGCAAGUCCACAUUAUAUGUUUUGAGGAUUGAUGCUCUUGUCCAGGUUUUGAAUGGGGCUCAUGGAUUAAUGUUAACAUGUAACCAGCCAGUUCCCAUAUUUUGAUGUGAAUAUUUAUCCUUUCCUGUUGUAGUCAUUAAAUUCGCAGUGGUUGAAAUAACUCUGGGAAGCUCUUCAUAUUGUGUUUAAAUUUGCACUGAUUGGGAUUUCUUUUCCUAGCUUUAGCAUGUUUUUCUUUACUAAUACCAUUCCAAAAAUAAUCCAGGGUCUAUAUUUUAAGCCUGAAACUAUUCUUUCCAGUGUUACAAGCAAAAUAUAAUUUGAUUUAUUCUUUCCAAUUCAUUUCAGCUCAUUGGUGAAAGUACUGUACGGAGCUAGCGCACUAAACCCAACAAGUGCUCGACAUCGUCCUCUUCUCAGUGCUUGCAGCCAACAGCAUCUAGUACUGCAGGUACACGCCUCUGCCCUCACAAAGACUCAUGGAUAAAUCAUGGAUCAAUAGUGAUGCUAGAUACACAAAGUCAUACUUACAAGGGGUCAACAGUUUCCUAGCUUUUGCUUUUAGAAAUUCAGCGGUAGGGGACAAGAUACUAUGCCCUUGCAGAAAGUGUGUUAACUCGUUUUGGAGAGACUCGAGUGAUAUACUCGAGCACUUGAUAUGUGAUGGGUUUCUACAAGGGUACACAACUUGGAACUUACAUGGGGAAGCUAGUUCCUCUUAUGUGAAUACCGACAAUGGUGAUGAUGUUGAUCUUGUGGAAGAGUCUAGUGAAGAGGAUGGCAUCUCUGCAUUGCUUAGAGAUCUGGCUGGUGGUUUAGAUGAUAGAGGUGAUUUCGAGGACAAUAGUUCUGUUGAGCUUCCUAAAGAGCUAGUUAACCUCCAAAAGUUGGUGGAAGCCAAUAGUCAACAAUUAUUUCCUAUUUGCAACAAGUACACUAAACUGCGUUUCCUGAUUAGGCUACUUCACAUCAAGCUCCUUGGAGGAUGGACAGACAAAAGUUUUGACCUUAUACUAGAUCUAUUUAAUGAUGUCUUACCUGUGGGUUCAACACUACCCAAAAACUACUAUGAAACUAAGAAAUUGAUUAAUUCCAUUGGACUUGGGUACAUUAGUAUUCAUGCUUGUGAGAAUGAUUGCAUUCUAUACUGGAAGGAUCAUCAAAAAUCUGAAUCAUGCCCAAAGUGUAAGGUUUCACGUUGGAAAUCAGCUAGGAAGAGUCUAGAUGGGAAACAUGUGUACAAGGUUCCUAAGAAGGUUCCUCGAUACUUUCCGAUAAAGAAAAGGCUCUAGAGAUUGUUUCUAUGUUCUAAAACGGCAAGUCUAACAAGAUGGCAUGAUGAGGAGAGAACAAAAGAUGAUGUUCUUAGGCAUCCUGCAGAUUCUCCUCUUUGGAAAGACUUUGAUCUUAAACAUCCUGAGUUUGCUAAGGAUAGCAGAAAUAUACGUCUUGCAUUUGCAACUGAUGGUUUUAAUCCUUAUAGAACCCAAAGUAUUAGCUAUAGCAUUUGGCCUGGUAUAUGUAUUCCCUAUAAUUUUCCACCAUCAAUGUGCAUGAAACAAUCAAAUUUCAUACUCUCUUUGCUAAUUCCUGGAAAACAUGCUCCUGGUAGUGAUAUGGAUGUUUUUCUCCAGCCACUUGUUGAUGAUUUGUUAGAUAUGUUUGUCAAGGGGGUUAGAACUUAUGAUGCAUCGAAGGGCGAGUACUUCCAAUUAAGGGCAGCAGUGUUGUGGACUAUUACAGACUUCCUAGGUCUAGGCUAUGUAUCUGGAUGUGUCACCGCUGGUUUAGGGGCAUGUCCUGAUUGCCAUUCAUAUACUUGUUCACAUAGACUUGGUAAUGGCAGCAACUAUAUGGGCCAUCGUAGGUUUUUUGAUGAAAACCACCCAUUUAGGUUCGAUGUCAAUAAGUUUGGCUCAACUGAAUUUAGGCAGGCACCAAUUCCACUCUCUGGGGAGGAAGUGUUGGAGGGUACUAAAGAUAUUGUCACAGUUUUUGGUAAGGAUCCAUGUGGUAAGAAACCAGCAAGGAAGAAACACAUGGAAGGGGAGCCAUUAGUCAUUUUUAAAAGGAUGUCUAUUUGGUUUAAACUUCCCUAUUGGAAAGAUUUGAUGUUGCGGCAUAAUUUUGAUGUCAUGCACAUAGGGAAAAAUGUGUAUGAGAACAUUGUUAACACAUUCUUGGGUCAUAGGUUUUUGGAUGAAAACCACCCAUUUAGGUUCGAUGUCAAUAAGUUUGGCUCAACUGAAUUUAGGCAGGCACCAAUUCCACUCUCUGGGGAGGAAGUGUUGGAGGGUACUAAAGAUAUUGUCACAGUUUUUGGUAAGGAUCCAUGUGGUAAGAAACCAGCAAGGAAGAAACACAUGGAAGGGGAGCCAUUAGUCAUUUUUAAAAGGAGGUCUAUUUGGUUCAAACUUCCCUAUUGGAAAGAUUUGAUGUUGCGGCAUAAUUUUGAUGUCAUGCACAUAGGGAAAAAUGUGUAUGAGAACAUUGUUAACACAUUCUUGGGUACCGAUGGGAAAUCUAAGGAUAAUCUGAAUUCUCGCUUAGACCUUCAAGCUUUAGGUAUUAGAAGUGAUCUCCACCCUGUUGAUGUUGAAGACCAAUAUUAUUUACCACCUGCACCCUAUACAUUGAGCCCUGAUGAGAAGAAAUUCUUUUGUGAAGUACUGAAAGGGGUAAAGUUUCCUGCUGGUUAUGCAUCUGAUAUACGUCACAAUGUUCAUGUUAAUGAGAGAAAGGUGUUUGGGCUUAAGAGCCAUGAAUGUCACAUUGUUCUACAACACUUGCUACCACUUGCUGUUAGGAAAUUAUUGCCGGAACUAGUCAGUGCUGCAGUGAUACGUGUUAGUCAUUUCUUCAAGAAAAUUUGUACUCCUAUUUUCCGAAGCAGUGAUAUGGAUAGUCUACAGGCUGAAAUAGCUGAAACGUUAAGCCUUCUAGAGACUAUAUUCCUUCCCUCCUUUUUUGACAUGAUGGUACAUCUGAUGGUUCAUCUUCCUGCCCAAGCAAAACUGGCUGGUCCAGUCCAUUUCCGUAGCAUGUGGCCUGUUGAGAGGUAAUUUUUGUGAGUGUAAUCAGCGUACAUAUAAAAAUACAUACUAUUUUUACAACAUAAUGAGCCUAUUAUAUUUGUAUAGGUUUUUGAUGCGAUUGAAAGGGGAUCUUCGUACAAAAAGCCAUCCGGAGGGAUCAAUUAUGGAGGGUUCUAUGUUUUAUGAGAGCCUUACACUAUGUGGACACUAUUUACACACCCGAGCAAUUAGAAAUAUUGAAGGGCUGCAAACUGUAAAUUCCACAACCCCUUUCUUUGAUAGCAUUGGUCGGGGUUUAGUUGGGAAGUGCACAGUGAGUUUAGACCACAAGACUUGGCUGCAAGCACAUAGAUAUGUUUUGUUCAACUAUGAACAUAUAGGGCCUUACUUGGAGUAAGUAAUCCAUUUAACUUCACACCACAUGUUUAGAUUCUCUUGCAUGGUGACAUGAUAAAUUGAUCUUCGCAGAAAGUAUGCCCACCAUCUAUCCUCAACUAGUGUUCGAAACCAGCGAGCUAUCAAUCGAAUGCAGCAUGAAUGUUUCCAUGAGUGGUUUAGGUCGCAUGUAAGUAGGAAGAGAACUUAAUACCUGGUACCUAAGUUGAACUAUUUAUCUUAAUAAUAAUAUUUCUUACUAAUCAUAGGUGGAAGAAAUGUGUGAGGAAGUACCAGAUGAGGUACAAAUCUUAGCCAAGGCACCAAUCAUGAGUGCACAAAAAUACAGUAGCUACACAAUAAAUGGAUUUGAUUUUCACACUGAGUCCUAUGAUGUGGGUAGGUCUGUCCAAAAUUGUGGGGUUGCUCUGGUUGCAGAAUCCACAUGCUUUCAGAGGGGCGAUAAUGAUAAUGUCAUAAUAGGAGCCAAGACUUAUUAUGGCAUUAUAAAGGAGAUGGUUGAAUUGAACUAUAACCAGAGAGGAAAUAUUGUCCUUUUCAAGUGUGAUUGGGUUGACAACCGUGUGCGAGGCAAAUGGGUUCAAACUGAUCAGUUUGGGGUCACCACGGUCAACUUUAAACAUUUAUUCAAUACCGGUGAAAAAGUAUCAGAUGAGCCUUUCAUACUAGCAUCACAAGCAGUGCAAGUCUUCUAUGUUCCUGAACAUGCUGGUUCUGAGUGGGUUUCUGUUCAUCAUUCCAAGCCAAGAGACUUCUAUGAUAUGGAUAAUUUGGAGAGUGAGCACCUAGAUAAUGGCAAUGGACUAGUUUUGCCAUUGCCUGAUCUGAAUGCCAAGGUGACUGUAGAUGUUAUUAAUGGGGUUGUACCCGCUAUUAGGACAGACAUAGAUGGUAUAAUUGUUGAGCCUAAAAAGUAAGUGUUAUUUAUGCAACAUGUGAUUGCCUCAUUGAUUAUUUGAAAAUUUGUUCCCUUCAAUUUCUAUUAAAUCUGAUGCAAGUAAGAUUGCUAAAUACUUUGUACUUUUGUAGGAGAAAAAAUGUCAAGCGCAAGAGGAAGUAACCGAGAUGAUGUCAUGACUGAUUAUGAGAGGCAGAAAUGGGAACGAGUUGCAAGAAACAAUGAGAAGAUGGAAUCCCUUUGUCUUCACCAACUACGCACUGAACUCCAGCCUGCCCAACAAAAAAAGAGAGCAAAGGUUAGCCUUGUACAGUGCUGGGACAUUUCUAAACUAGUACACAUACUUAUGGGCUGCUUGGAGUUCCUUCAGAUUAUUUGCAUGCUUGUUCAUCCACUGCAAACUAGGAACUAAAUUUCUAAACUAAUACAAAUACUAAUUGACAUUUUCAUGUGCAUUUUGCUGUAGAGAACUCAAAACCCAAGUGAUGCAGCCAUAGAACAUUGUAAUUUGCGACCAAGACCACAAAGAAAUAAUGUUGAGACUGCAAAUGAGCAGAUUACUAAUGAUCCUGACUAUGAAUUAGUUGGAGACUUCUUACAUAACAAUCAAGGUAUCAUAUUUCUAAAAAAUUAUGAGAACAUUUGCUGCGAUUUCUUGCUACAAAUUCUGAGAACAUAUGCUGAAAAAAAUAUGUUCCUAAUCUGUACAGGUUUGCAUAGUGGAAAACAAAAGAGGAAUGGAAGAAAAAUCACUACAUUGAAUGACAUAUUCUCAAGGACAGCUGACAUGCCUAAAAUCAAAAUAACCGCCAAUGAACUUGGGCAGCCUACAGGAGACAAUUAUAGGAAAUUUGCUAGUGCUAUUGGUUGUCAGGUGAGAAAGAAAUUACCAGUUCGAUUCAAUGAUUGGAGGGCUGUUCCGCUGGAAAAGAAGCUUGAAGUUUGGACUGACUUGCAGGUAUAGCAUUGUCUGUCCUUGUCCAAGUUAUCCAAUUCAUAGCAGGUAGUAUAAUAUGUGCAUCAAUAGCAACUUAGUGCAAUCUGUACAUAAUCUUUUCCCAAUAAUUGGGUUUUUGUAGCAAACUAAUGCCCACAUACCAAUUAAUAGCAACUUAGUAUAAUGUGUACAUGAUCUGAUGUCUCUUUUUCAAUGGCAAAUUAGGCCUUCUAUGAUAUUGAUGAGAAUGUCAAGAAAUGGUUUAUGGAUACUGCUGCAAAGAAGUGGAAGGACUACAAGACAAACUUAAAAAAGAAGUUUUUUUAUGAAGCAUUAACAGAUGAACAGCUGAAGGAAAGACUUAAAAAUAAAUUAAAUGAUGAUGACAUCAAUGAUCUUAUUGAGUUUUGGAGGUCUCCUGAAUGUCAAGUAAGGAAUAGUUUAUAUGAAUCUCUCUUUUCCAUUACCGAUGAAUGUGAAAAUCUUAAUGAUUUCUACCAUAGGCUCGCAUUGAAAGAGGAAAAGCAAAUCGUGCAAUGUUGAGGGUUCAUCAUACAUCUGGAAGCGUCAGCUAUGCUUGUCGCAGUUAUAAUUUGGUACAGAAUUCUAUCAUGUUAAUCAUCCUAUGAAUUAUUUUGGGGGCACUUUCAUUGAUACAUAGUUAUAAACCUUGUAGGGUAAAGCACUUGGACGCCCCCCUCGAAGAGAUGAAGUGUACAUCAGUACACAUACAAAAAAAAUGGAGUUCCUUUAAGGGAGGCAGCAAGAAUAAUUGUAAGUUCACCUCCCCCCAACAAAAAAAAGGAAACUUAGAUCUGUUGUUUAGACUUUAGUGAUUCAUAUUUUGCAAGAUGAGCUUAAAUCCAUUGUUGAGACUCAACCAGAGUUGAAGGAUAGAACAAUUCAAGAAGGUGAUGCGUUUGCGGCUGUUGCUGGAGCAAAGGAGCCAAGAGGACGUGUUCGUGUUUUGGGUCUAGGACCAACUCCCCAAGAGAUUGGUACCCCAAGGCUCAAAGCACUCAUGUCAACAAGGAUGCAAAUGGAAAUCUUUUCUCGACAAAAAGCUGAUUGUCGGAACAGAACUCUUGAACAACGAAUUGUGGAAUUGGAAGAGGAAAGGAUAGCACAAAGGACCAAUGUUGAAGUCCUAUCACAACAUGGCUCUAAUUCACGACAGUACGCGGUAAAGAACUCAAGCUAGAUUAUCUCUUUACAUGUCUCAGUGUGCAAAUAAGUUUCUCUGGUAGCAGCCAAUGAAUAUUAUUGUUUUGAUUCUUGUGUAGAGUCCAACACCUGAAGGACCUAUUGAUGAGGCACAUAAUGCCCCUAGUCAUGAAGAUUAUGAUAAUUAUGUAGAGGAUGAAGAGUAUAAUCAGUAUAGAGAGGAGGAUGAUAACCUGCUCCCCAAUAGGCAUGCUGCACGCGAAGAGGAUGAUAACCUGCUCCCCAAUAGGCAUGCUGCACGCGAAGAGGAUGAGAACUUGCUCCCCCAUAGGCAUGCUGCAGCUCGACCAGCUAUGAACUUGACAAUAGGAACAGAUGUUCGCCCUUGCUUUGCAAAUGGCAAACGUGUAAUGUUACCAUGCAGCUGCAAUGUUUCUCUUUGUGAUUUCAAAAUAUGUUCCAUGCUAUAUAGUUCUCAUGAUUGCAUCAUUCAUUUCAGGAUGCAACGGAAGAGAGCUUGCUGCCCCCUAUGCCUCGAUCAACUGUUAACAUGAAUACACAUGUACUCUUGCAAUUCUACAGCAAUGUUUCUUUGUGAUUCUGAACAUAUUGCAUGAUUUGCAUCUCUCAUGAGUGUAUCUUUACUUCAUGCCGGAACUAAUGCGAGCUUGCUGCCCCAGAGACAUGAUGCAACCCAUUCACCUAUAAACAGGACAACUACACACACAAAUGAUGGUCCUCCUCGUUUUUCUCAUGAUGAGCUUGUAAUUUUCUUGUCUUCCUGCAUUAUUUUUUGGUUUCAUAUAACUUCCUUGCUUUAAAUAUCUUAUGGGUGUAUUAUUUAUUUCAGGUUGGAAAGGAUGUGAUACUAUUUGCUAUAUUCAGAUGCGAGUCAGCUGUGGCUAGGGUAACAGUUACUUCAACUAAUCCAAAGACCAUGGUAGGAGGUCAACCUGUUGGGAAUGAAUAUUGUGAAGUAGUUGUUAAUGUUGUGAUGAAAAGGGAUGCUAUACUGCCUCGGCCUUAUGGUGGGAUUGAGACUAUGGCUAGUGCUCUUAAGAUGACAAUUGCAUGGCCCUACAAUAAAGUAAUAAAUUAUACUUGACAUAAUUUUCAUUUUUCUUUGAUCUCUGAUGCAAGACCAAUGUUGCUAAUUAAACCUUUCUAUGAUAGAUCAAGGAAUGCAGGAAGAAGGCACCUGAACCUCCCAAGGGCACUACACGUAAGUCCCAACAUUUGUACAAACCUAGUGACAUCUGUCAGAGAUAAUUGAUAGAUACAACAAUGACUUGUAGCUGAAAUAGGAAACCUGCAGCAGGUGAAAUUAAAAUUACAACUAUAUUUUUUUCUCCUAAGUGGAAGCGAUAAUGGUGGCUUGUAUGCUGUUUUUUUCCAAACACUAAUAAUCGACUAAAUACAGAAGUCUAGAAUGUGCUAUCUGAUUAGGCAGAUCUGAUUAGAAAUUCAUACUAACGACAUGAAUUAGUGCAAAUAUCAUGCGUGCUAGCUUGGAAGGCAUGUCUAUGUCAAGCAUGCUUUGAUCAGUUUGAAAAACAUAAAAGUGUUGAACUGUAAGGACGAAGGUAGUAUGCUGAUACUCAUUCUAUUUAGUAUUCAAUUUGAGUCGAAUCGAAAAAAUCAAUUGUUGCUCGGAAUAUAUCUUUAAUCAAGCCUAAGAAGAGUUGCUCUGAUGUGAUAUUGCUGAUGGUUAAAACUUAACUGAAAGUUAAAUUGAUUAGAGGCAUUUGUUUCAGUUAGGCAGAAAUGAGGUCUACUGCUUUAGUACGUCAGUUCUACACAUAGCUUGUCUACACCUAGCUGAUUACAUGGUUGCUCCUCUAUAUUUCAGGAAGUGCUGGGCAGAUGCCUUUGUCUUGACUUUUUCGAAAAUGAUUCAUGUGCUAUAAUUUUGGUAAGUCAUUCCUUUUGUUUUUUCAGUUCCUAGAAAUGAUUUUGUGCUCAAACCUUAGGCUGUGAAACAAAAAGUACUAUUAUUGCUUGAUGAGAUCUGCACAAUUGAGGCAUAGGAAACCAUGUAACAUUCAGGUUGAGUUUCUAGAAAAAAAUUGCGUACACUUGACUGAUCUGUAUAAUGACUGAUCUGUAUAACAGCAAUAUAUGUGUAAACUUGACUGAUCUGUAUAAAAACUUCACACAAUUUCUCUACUUGCCUAAUUACAAGGUUGUGAUAAUUUUCAGGAAGUGUUGGGCACAAGUGUUUGCUUGAGUUUAUGGAAGGUGGCUGUACACAUAACCUGGUGGAUGUAAUAUGUGUUGGCAAGCCAUUGCUUUUGGCUUUUGAUUUCUUAGAAAUGAAUGUGUGCCCAAAUCUUUUGGUGCUUGCUUGGAGAAUUAAUAUUGCUUGCCGUGAGUACAUUCAUGUAACAAUUUGGUGCUUGACUUUGGAUGAUUCAAACACUGUGUAAGACAAUAUUAUAUGCUAUAUGUAUUGACCUUCACGAAUUCAUGUACAUGUUUAUGUAUCUUUAUGUGAUGUGAUGAGAUAUGAUACAUGUUAAAUGUAUUGUAAUUGUAUUUAUUUAUUUUUUUAGCACAUUUAUAUUGUCCUGUUGAACAGUCUGACGCUAUAAAUAGAUGUCAGGAGACCGUCUGACGGUAAAUAUGUUGUCUGACGCUAAAAGUUAACAACACUCUAUCUGACGCUAUAUAUAUUCAGGCCAAUGGACUGUCUGACGCUAUAAGUGCUGUCUGACGCUAAAGAUCUUUAGCAUCAGCACUUACAGCGUCUGCAGGAGUCUGACGCUAUAAGUUUUUUGCGUCGGAUCAUCUGACUCUGUAGCCGCUUUUAGCGUCAGAUUGUCUGGCGUGAAUCUCGGUGUUGUGGUGUAGUGAUUGGUAUAUUUUGUCGGACUAACCCCUGCAGAAAAAAAACUUUCAACAUCGAUUUGGGAAGUCCUGAGAUAAACUCACAUCGGAGAUGAAGAGAGACACACAUGAAGUUUAACAAUUUGCACAAGAAGGACAUAGCUCAUUUAUCAUAGAGAGAUGAUCAAUGGAAGGAGACAAAGUACAUAAACAAGAUACACAACCACUACGAAUGGGAAGCUUCCACAAGGUGAGAUGGUACCAUCACUCUUCAAUUAAGGUAACAUCUUAAGAUAUGUGGCUAUCACUUUUAUAAGCUUCUCCUUGGUUCUAGCGUUCACAUAAAUAAAGAGACAAACAUGUAUGAUUUAUAACUCUAAAUUAACGAACCCAACUGAUUCAGCAUGUUUAGUCCUUUAAUCCUUGUUCCUAGUACUACCUCCAUGAUCCCACACUCCUAAUCAUAUGAGCUAAAAUGUUACACAUUCAAUCUUUGAGAGAUAUAAAGAAAAAGACAUAUACAUAGAUAGAUUAUCUUUCCAUAAGGUUGAGCGAUCUGAUCUGACAAAUGUUAUAAGUACUACACUCAUGAACUUAUCAUCCAUCAACUUUGUCUUGCUCACUAUGCUUAAGGUUAGAGAAGAACAAAUACGCUUUUAGUUCUGUUGGUGUUUUCCACCAACAGGACCCAUGCACUUGAUCUGUGCCUUGUCUAUAUGAGCAGGUAAACUUGGAGCAAAACAUGGUGGAGUUUUAUAACUCUCAGACUCUACCAAGUAAAGGACCUGGAUCUACGAGCACAAACACACUGAGCAGGAUACUGCCAACGCCGCACUUCGAACUACUGGGCAAACGAAGAACAUGGGUGACACCAUAUCAAGAGGAGCAGACGUCAAGGUCCGCACCUGAAUCAAAUGACGCACCUGAAGAAUGAACACGGUGAGAAGUCUUGUUCAGAAGACUUAAAACAUUGAACCCUUGCCGAAAGGUAAAACCAGUAGUUAUCCAUCUUUAUCCUUUCUGCAUUCCCUUUUUCCUUAAAUUAUUUACUUUCCUUAAAUGGCUUGUUAGUUAAUCAUGCUAUAUUGAAAAGAAACUAAAAAGGUUAAAAAUAGUAAGCCCCAUGUGAGUAUGCUCAUGGCAUAAAACCCAUAAGUACAUUCACUUUGGUGGCGUAAAAAUAAAAUAAAUAUAUUCCUGUCCUAUAGAAAUAAAAAUAUAAAAAAAUAAAUUUAUGAUCCUACCAAAAAGAGUAAUAUUUAUUAGAGGAAGCUCAACAUGAUAAAGGCUAGAUAUUUAUGCUAACACUUAACCAGUCCCACAAAGCUUUGUUGUCUAUUUGAGCUCCACAGAAUUCAGAGAUCAAAGAAGACUAGCAGACAGAGGACAUCCUAAUCGCUGUCAGGGUGCUGCCGACAUUCAAAUACACCUCCACCACCUGCUAGCUACAUCAGAAGAAAUUACAUCGAAAUCCAGCUUGGGGGAGAGCACCCCCAUUUAUCCAGCUAAGUGUUUCUACUCAUGUUUAUACUUUACUCAAAUAAUAAAAAGAUGCAUAAUCAUAAAAAACCCAAAUAAAGAUUUUGUGCUUAUAUAUAUAUAUCUUUUCUUAGUUUGCUAAAUAAAUAAAUAAAUAAAGCUUGCUAUGAACCCUCAUGAUAAGCUCUCACAUGGAAAUGACGAAUAAUUGCUCUGCCAUGAUUAGUUCUCAAAAUUGAAAUCUCUCUCAUGUUUAGGCAUGACUGUUAUGAAUUAAGAUUUGCUCUAAACCUGAACUUGUGGGAAGAGUACUUGAUCUAAAGUCUAAGUCGUUAACGGAUAUGAUAUGGGAAGGUUGAGCUGUUGUUUAUCUGUUUCUAGAGAUGCUAGAAUUCUGGAGAAUUUUAUAUUUGAAAAUAUUUAAAAUGUUGCAUGAUGAGUUCCUGUAUGAUGAGAGUUUAAAAUCCUACCACAGCCAUAUAUACAUGCUUAUUAGACUAUGAACCAUAUAUUUACUUUUACUACUUAUGAGCAUUGAGUGUGGUCAAGCUGUGUAGACCCUUAGAAGCUUGUCAUGCGCUUAAAAUCAAGAUUCACUUGCACGAUCACUCAUACAUGCUGCUUCUACUCCGGAAGCAUGCAUCCACAUACAUCCACUCAUUUCCAUCUCCUGAUUUACCCAAAAUUAUUCUACUCCUAUCCAGGAGAGAAUAGCCAAAAACAUUAUCCUAUCUCUGUUAUUCCCAGUGAAAUUAAUGCUCGAGAUAUUUUGAUUACUACCACUUGCUACAUUAUUCUAGGAGGGUGAGUGCUCUGAAAAAAAAAGUGAAUACGAGGAAAUAAAAAGGGGCAAGUGCCCGGAACCUUAAAAGAAAAGAAAAAGUGAGAUGAGAGGUAAAAAUGGACAAGUGUCCGACAGUAGAAUUAGGGGUACAAGAUACCCACCUGAGAGAAAAGAAAAAGAAAAUAUAGAGCAUCUCAUUCCUCUCAAAAACCUUCAAAGUGCAAGAAAGGUAUGUAUCCCCUCAAAAGAGCAAAAGUAGAAUUAGACUUUCACCAUUAUUUUCACCAUUAUCACCAUAAUCACCAUACACCAUUCAUUCACCACACAUGCACAUCUUGAUUUGACUUAUUGACUUAUUUCUCUAGAUCCAUGAUUUGACUAUGCAAUAAAUGUCUUAUAAGUAUGUAUUAGUUGUCUCCCACCUAUGAGCUCCAGAUAUCAAAACCUUAUUAGAGUAGGGUGAGAGAGAAGGCAAUAUCACUAUGCCUCAUACCAAAAAUACCACAUACUUUGAGAGAAGGCAUAUACCAUCACUGCCUUGGUAAGGAUCUAAAAAUACCACAAAAGAGAGAAUUGAGAGAGUCAUACAAAGGAAUCUCUGAGUUUUAUUUGAAAAUCUGCAAAAACUCCAGAGCUAUAGUUGAUCAAGAACAAGAGACAUGACGCUUGACUUCACCGUUCUGUCUUUUAACCGCUCAAGACACAAGUGACGGUUGCAAGCCCCAUGGUGGAAGGUAAAAUGAGUAAGUUUUAAAUCUUAACAGUUUACCCUAACCUAGAGAUGAGAUCUUGUUUAAACGCAUGUGUACCUUUAAGGCAUAAAACCACUACAGAAACUCUUGAGUCCAUUCUUGCUCAGGGACGAGCAAGAGGUAAGCUUGGGGGAGUUGUUGACGGUCCUUAAGUACCAAAUAUAAUCAUCAAAUAAAUAAAGAAAAGGAUCCAAAUGCAACCAACACCCAGACUCAGGGUUUUAUCUGACAGAAUUCCAUGAGUUUUGGUGUUUGUCUAUUUUUGCAGGGGGUGAUCAGGAAAUAUGGAGGAAAGGCCCACAUGUCGGGUUUACAUAGAGAUAUUAACGUGCCAUGCAAUUUUCUAUCAUCUGGAAGACUCCAGAAGCCACGGGAACGAACGAGAAGGCAAUCGGGCCCGGGGGCAGGGCGCCCGCCCUAGUCCUUAGGGCGCCCACCCUCCUAUUCUGCCCAAUGAGAGUACAACUCGGGGAUUAUGGUCCACCGACCUAAAGGAUCAAGAAUAACCAUUCAAUCAAUGUCGGUUUGAUCCGACAGCCCAGAUUCCCUUGAGGGGACUAUAUAAGUAGACCCCCUGGCCCCUAGAGGAGGCACCCCUUGAUCCCUAAUCAUUAUUCAUAGACAGAGCAAAAGCUAGGGUUUGGAGAUGAGAGCUCUCCUCUCAUCUCUAAACUAGAGUAGAUCUAGAUAGUAGCGAGAUGGAGAGCGAGGGAGGAUUGGAGGAGAGGUCGGACUGUCGGUUCUUCCUCCGGUUGUAUUUCGUCAUGAUCAAGCUCUAAUCAAGCUUGCUCAUGGGAUGACUCUAGUAAUCUACUUCUAAUUCAUUAUGCAAUUACUAAUCAUGUAUGUUCUGGUUCACAACUCUUUUGGGUACUUCUAAUCUAUAGGACCCUAUUGGUUAGAGUUGUAGUAUAGGUGUAAGCGUGGUGCUUAGACCUAGAUUACUUGUGGAUAUCCCCUGUUUAGCUGGAUCGUGUGGUAGGCCGCGUAGGUGACAGUUACGUUGGUCCCUUGUAGUCCACCUCCUAUUAGCAGGACGGGUAGGGUUUAUCGGCCUAUGGAUAAGCAUCCUUUGUGGUGUAUUCUUAUCACGUGGUUUGUCCCAGACAUAGACAUACCCCUUUGAAGUAGAGAAACCAUAGUUAUCCUCUCUAUUUUGCUACCAUCGACCAUAUACUAGAUUGCUCUACUCUCUAUUCCCAUAUUAUCACCCAUUGUUAUCUUACCUUUAAUAUUGUUCUUAUUCAAUUCUCCUAUCUCCACAAGAGUUCUGGCUUGUGAUAUGGUAAGUGAUAUGAAUGCUCCUCCAGCUGCAGCAUCCAUGGUCUCUCGGGCACUGUUGCCGAGCCCAUGAUAAAACGUCUGAAUUAGUAGCCAACUCUCCGUUCCAUGAUGGGGACAUUCCAGGAUGUAGUCUUGGAAGCGCUCCCAUGCUUCUGGAACAGAUUCAUCAUGUUGUUGCUGAAAACUUGUAAUUUUCCCACGGAGAGCAUUGGUCUUGCCUAUGGGAAAGAACUUAGCCAAAAAGUUCGUGGAGCAGAGUGCCCACGUAGUAUUCUUCUCCUCUGUAGCGUAGAACCACUGCUUCGCUCUCCCCAACAGUGAGAGUGGGAAGAGGCGAAGUAGUAUAGCAUCUAUGGGGACUCCUGAUAUGGUGAAUGUGUUGCAAAUCUCCAGGAAGUGUUGAAGAUGAGCACUAGCAUCUUCGUGUGCCUUCCCACAGAACUGGUUGGAUUGCACCAUGUUGAUAAGUCUAGGCUUGAGCUCAAAGUUGCCGUUGAUAUCUGCAGCAGGUCCAGUAUGGAUGUUGUCCGUAGUGGGCGAUGAAAACUCGCGGAUCGAUUUGUUCGCCAUGGCUCCAAACUCUGAAGACAAGUUCCGGUGAUCUUCUUGAUUGGAUGAAGCUUCUUGCUGAAGUGUUGAUGAUCUCUUCUUGAGCUCGGCUCUUGUUUUUCUGAAUAACGCUUCGGGAUUGUCAACAAAAUUUCCUGGAAGAUGUCUUCUAUUCAUACAUUACCCUGCAUAAGAUAAAAUAGAAAAUAACGGGGUAAAACUGUAUGAGAAAAUUGAUAAGCUCAAUCAUAUUAAUACCGAUGUAGCAUUUUAACCGGGAAGUAUUCCAGGUAUCGUUAUUUAUAUUUUUACCACUAGGAAGGGAUUAGCAAUCAUCAAUGUUGAUUAUAGAAUGAAAUAUAAGAUUGAGUGUCUAUCAUUGCAUAUAUAAUUGAGAACAAUUAUCUAUCUCUUUCAUACAGGGAUAAGUGUCACAUAAAGGAUAUAUAAAGUAAUGAAUAGUGACAAACAUAAUUAAUAUGAUCAGCAUAACUUAGCCACAUAUAAAUAUGAUAAGCACCUCAAUUAGAUAUUCUAGCAAGUCAUUAGCAUGGAAUUAGGAUGAACUACAAGAAUAUUUUCUAAGUUAUUCUCAACUAUACAGUCUAGCAUAUCAUAGUUAGUGCAAUUAUACUUAGCAAUCAUUGCGAGACAGGACUACGCCCAUGCAUAGUGAUAUUAUCAAGGAAUAUGAGAAACAUCGCAAUCACUCCCCUGUAAUAAUGUUGUUGUGCCAGCCCAAUACACGAGAGGGGGACUAUAUAAAAAAUCAAUGGAGCUGUCACUACCACGAACUACCCCGCGAUCUGGCAUAUAGGGUACAGUCAGGUAUAAGCACCACGCCUACACAGUAUCUAUCAUUUACCCAUGGAUCCAAUGGAUAAAUGCUAUAUGAUCCUAAACAUGUAUAUAAAUCAAAUCUAACUAAGACGAGUAUUUAACUAUGAUAAACUAAGAACAAUAUAAUUGCGAAUAUAAACAAGUAGAGCAAAGUCAUAACCAAUAUAUUGAAGUAGAACAAAGUCAUAUUCAUAAUAUUGAAGAACAAAGAUGAACAAUUGAAGAACAAUAGAGAAUUACCAAGAAUCCUCUUGACAGAUCCGGAAACCAAUCGAAGAUUGACUCCUUCUAGUUCUAAUCCUAUGUAGCUAUGCUAAUCUAGAUAUCUAAUUGAUGUGGUGGCUCUAGGCUUGAUCAGAGGCUUCUUCUCCCUUGAUGAAUAAUGAAUUAGGGUUGAGAGGUCCUCUCCUCCAGGGGCCAGGGGGUCUAGUUUUAUAGUCCUUCCAUGUGAAUAUGGGCCGUCGGAUCAAACCGACAUUGAUUGAACGGUUAUCCUUGAUCCUUUAGGUCGGUGGAGCGUAAUCCCAAAAGAGAGUCCUGAUUGGACUCCGGAGGGGGGCGGGCGCCCUGGUCCCUAGGGCAGGCGCCCUGGGCCAGGCUCCAUUCUACCUCCACUCCGUUCCCGUGGCUUCUGGAGUCUUCUAGAUGUAAGAUAAUUGUGCGGCACGUUAAUGUCUCUAUGUAAUCCCGACGUGUGGGCCUUUCUUCCGUAUUUCCUGAUAACCCCCUACAGAAAUAGACAAACACCAAAACUUGUGGAAUUCUGUGAGACAAAACCCUUAGUCUGGAUGUUGGUUGCAUUUGGAUCCUUUUCUUUGUUUAUUUGAUAAUUAAAUUUGAUAUUUAAGGACCGUCAACACUUGGUACUUAGAGUUUUCAUGAUAGUUCAAAAGAAAGCACAUAGUUUAUUCGGACUCCUCAUUUAUCACUCUCUCAAACUCCUGAGUUUGUAAAGCCAUCUUACCAAGGCAUACUGAGCCCUUCUUGCUACAUCCUACAUCUAUCAGGCUUAUGUGGAGCUUGGUAGGAAAAAACAAGGUAGCAUAUCAUGCAUUGUAUUUAUUGUAAAGUCAAUGCAAGGAUCUAAGGAUAGGAGUGUCAUAGUCCGAGAUCAAGAUGUGCAAGUGUGUAUGAUAUGAGAAUGAUAACUAGAUAGCUCCUUUAUUGACUUUGCUCUCUCUAUUUCUUUGUUUCUAUGAGACAAGGCUAGCUUUUUUUCUUUUUUCUUUUUUUAGCCUCUGCUUUUGGGUCUCAUCUAUAAUUAACUCUUAGAGAGAGAUUCUAUACUAUUGAGCAUAUGGAGCAUCUAUAUUUGUGGGAUGGAAUGGGAUGUUGCGUGCUCCCAGUGUAGGAGUGGCACGAAAUGUGGUGUGUGCGAUCUGGAUCUUAGGACUAUGACAAAAACUCUCACUAUAAUCUACAUGAUUUGACCAAAUUCAAUACAUAUGCAAGCUACAGACAAGGGUUGUUUCAGACAUACAUGUUUUGGCUCUGGUAGGGAUUUCAUUGCUAAUGAGGAGUGAAUAAAACUAUGGUUUUAUGAUAUUUAAAAUAAAAUUCUAAGUACCUUGAACAGAAUUGGUGUGAUGAGCUUAGAACUAUGUCACUUUCAUCAACAACUUAGUCAAAAUGCAUUCCUAUAUAAUUUUGUACCCAUAAGCAUAAACAUAUGCUAGAAUAAACUAUGUGUCACAUAUGGAUAUUUAAAUGCCAAAACUCAAGUUAGUCAUGUGAAUUAAAUUUCAUUUUAUACAAUUAGAGUAGAGGAGGGAAAAGUAAGGAUGAGAGGGAGUAAAGGAUGCAAACCAAACAUGAAGAUAUGGGUCAUCGUGUUGAUGCUGGCUAGUGGGCCCGGGGUCACCAGGUGGGGUCGACCGACCCUGCCCUGGUGUGCCCAGGGUGGCCCCUGUGUUCCCCUCGACGUGUGGAGUGUUGCCGUGACGUCAGUUUUCCGGGUGGUGGAAAACCUCGGGUCGACCAACCGGGCCUUUGGGUCAAUAUUUAGCGUGUCAACUCGGGUCUGUGCUCCUGACCAAAGUGUGUGCUUUGUUUCGUCUAGUGAGGACAUUGGGUGGAUUGGCCGAUCCCCCACAGUUUUGGUUUUCUGUGUUCUGGAUUUCAACAACACGAAUGAAAUCACGUGCGCAUGUUCUGCUGGUGGCAACACACCAGUAGAACUCUAAGUCUUAUUUUAUUCCAACUAGGCUUUUUAUUCAAGAAUUCAAAUAUUGUAGGAACUUUAACAAGGGAAAAUCAAAAGGGAAAUUGAACUAAAGAAGUCGAAAUGGACUAAUUUAAAACUAAGUGCCUAAUAAUCUAAUUAAAGUAAACUAGGGAGAGGGGAUCUCUAGUAGAUCCUCUCUAUUGAUUGCCUUAACGUUCCUCUUGAUCUUCGCAUUAUUGCUAAUGCGAAGAUGGUUAAACUCGUCCGCCAAGUCCUGGUAGGCCAUCUUUAGCUCUGACACGGUCUCCAUGAGGGCCGUGUUCUUCUUGCGCAGGACACCAGUGACGUGGAGGAUCUUCUCCACAUCGCUCUUCUCCUGCUCCCCCUCAAAUUGGCCAGGAGGGGCUCUGAUGGGAGGUGGAGACAGCCGAUGGCGAACGGAGCCGCUGGUGGAGUCGUUGGACUCCCUCAGGGCCCUCCGCUCUUUGGUUUCCAACGACCGGAUGAGUUUCUUCCCCAUCCCAAGCCCUGCGCUCAUAAUCUUGCACAACGGCGGUGAAGCUAGGGUGUANNNNNNNNNNNNNNNNNNNNNNNNNNNNNNNNNNNNNNNNNNNNNNNNNNNNNNNNNNNNNNNNNNNNNNNNNNNNNNNNNNNNNNNNNNNNNNNNNNNNNNNNNNNNNNNNNNNNNNNNNNNNNNNNNNNNNNNNNNNNNNNNNNNNNNNNNNNNNNNNNNNNNNNNNNNNNNNNNNNNNNNNNNNNNNNNNNNNNNNNNNNNNNNNNNNNNNNNNNNNNNAGGUCGGUUGACCCAAAGACAUGGUCGGCCGACCAGAGGUAUGGCCCAACGGGCCCUCCGGUGGGUGGCACCAUGGCCAGAGGCUCUGCCUUGAUGACAUCCAACGCCAUGAGCUGCUCCAAUUUCUCUGUAAGGGAGAGGGCAGGCAUUGGUGAGUCAGGGCAGCGGAUGAUCUAGUUGUUCUUUGAUGGAGGGGCCAUGGCAAGGUGUUGGUGGUGAUGGUGAGGUGUUCAAGAGUUCAGAAUGGCUCCUUAUUCGAGGUAGAAAGCAAUGGGAGGAAGAAGAAGAGGAGGAGGGAGCUAUUUGUAGGCUUAGGAGGAUGUUCCUGGCCAUAUGAAAUUUGAAAAUCCACUUAGAGCAUCGGAGGGAUAAUCAGGAGGAUGAGAGUGAUCUGAGACCAUUUGGAUCCCUUCAAAGAUGGAUUGGUCGACCGACUAAUUUCAAAGUUUUGAAAUUUUGAGUUCGUGGCGACCUUCCACACUCUGUUCUUUACGUGGCAAGGUGCCUAGGUGCACUAAGAGUUGGUCGGUCAACCCCCUCUUUGGGGCUUGGCUCGACCGGGGUUUGUACCCUAGCAUCCCGGAGUCGUGACAGGCGUGGUGCCCUCUGGAUCAACACUUACCUCGGUCGACCGACCCCCUUAGUGGGAGCCUGGCUCGACCAGGUGUGUCUCUCGGGCCACCCUUAGUCGUGACAGGUGUAGUGUCCUUUGGGUCGACACUUACCUCAGUCGACCGACCCCCUUAGUGUGAGUCUGGCUCGACCAGGUGUGUCUCUUGGGUCACCCAAGAGUUUAUUGGGUGGCCUGACCCCUAAGUGUGCUAAGUCUUCACUCCAUCUAGUGAUCAAGCAAUCAAGAAAAUAGAUUGACAUAUAGGUUUUAGUUGAUGGGGUUUAGAACAAAUUCUAUCGUGUCUACUUAUUUUUCUAAAGGUUCAUGUUCAUAAAAGAGCUUGAGGCGAUGACCAUUUACCUUAAAGACGUUGCCAUCGUUGUCCUAAAGCGUUACGGCUCCAUGUGUUAAGGCGUCGAUCACCAAGUACAGGCCUUCCCACUUGCUCCUCAGCUUCCCAUGGCCAAAAAGUUUGACCCUGGAGUUGAACAAAAGAACUUUGUUCCUAGGAUGGAACUCUUUUUCCUUGAUUCACUUAUCAUGCCAUCUUUUGGUUCUCUCCUUAUAGAUUCUGGAAUUGUGAUAAGCUUUCUCUCUCCAUUCUUCCAGUUUUGAGAUUUGAAGCUUUCGAUUGAGGCCGGCUGAGGGCAGGUCCAUAUUCCAUCUUUUUAUGGCCCAAUGUGCCCUAUGCUCGAGCUCAACUGGUAAGUGGCAUGUCUUUCAGUAUACAAGAUGGUAUGGUGACAUACUGAAGGGGGUCUUGUAUGCGGUCCUAUAUGCCCAAAGUGCAUCAUGGAAUUUGUUCACCCAUCCUGUCCCCAUUUCCUUGACAGUCUUUUGCAGAAUGUUCUUGAUUUGGUUAUUUGAGGUUUCUGCUUGUCUGCUUGUUUGGGGAUGAUAAUGUGUUCCCACAUUGUGCCUUAUCCCCACUUCCAUUGGGAAUUCACGGAAUCUCCCGUCAAUGAAGUGGCUGCCCCCAUCACUAAUAACCAACCUUGGGGUGCCAAAUCUUGGGAAGAUGAUCUCCUAAAACAUCUUUUUGGCAUGUUUUGAGUCAGCUGCUCUGCAAGGCAAUGCUUCAACCCAUUUGGACACGUAGUCCACUGCCACCAAGAUGUACUCAUAGCCUUGACAUGGUGAGAAUGGACCCAUGUAAUCUAUUCCCCAGACAUCAAACAACUCCACUUGAAGGUUGUUUGGGAGUGGCAUGGCGUCACGGGUAUUGAUAUUCCCAUGUCGCUAACACCUCUCACACCUCUUGAUGAAGUCUUGAGUGUCUUGGUACAUGGUAGGCCAAUAGAAUCCACUUUGCCAAAUUUUGGGAUGGGUCCUGAAUGUACCAUAAUGGCCUCCAUAUUCAGCUCCGUGGCACUUCUCAAUGAUUUGAACGGCUUCUUCCAUAGGGACACAUCUUCUUAGCACACCAUCCUGGCAGACCCUAUAGAGGUAAGGGUCGUCCCAAAGGUGCACUUGGCUCUACUUGAUUUGCUUCUUCUUAUCUACCCCAGUGGCACAUAGCCAGAAACCAUGUAAUUGAUGAUGUUUGCGUACCACGGGUAGGCGGCUGACACCUUGAGGAGUGUGUCGUCCCAAAGAUAGUCGUUGAUUGGUAGAUCAUGUUUAUCCUCAAUCUACAUUCUAGACAAGUGGUCUACGACCGAGUUCUCUAGUCCCUUUUUAUCUUUUGUUUCUAAAUCAAAUUCUUGGAGUAGCAGGAUCCAUCUUAUUAGCCUUGGUUUAGCAUCUUUCUUAGUGAGCAGAUAUUUUAGUGUAGUGUGAUCGGUGUAAAUGAUCACUUUUGCCCCUACUAAGUAUGAUCUAAACUUGUCUAUAGCAAACACUAUAGCUAAAAGUUCCUUUUCUGUUGUUGCAUAGUUUAGUUGUGGGCUAGUUAGUGUUUUGCUAGUGAAAGAGAUAGCGUGAUGCUUUUUAUCUUUGGUCUAUCCUAAGACAGCUCCUACAGCAUAAUCACUAGCAUCACACAUUAUCUCAAAAGGAAGCGACCAAUUAGGGGGUUGUAUGAUUGGUGUAGAGAUAAGUACUUUCUUGAGGCAGUAAGAAGCAACUAAGCACUCAUCGUCAAAGUUAAAGGGUGCAUCUUUAGCCAACAGGUUUGUUAAAGGUCUAGCAAUUUGUGAAAAAUCUUGUAUAAACCUCCUAUAAAAACCUACGUGACCAAGAAAACUGUGUACACCUCUAACAUUCGUGGAUGGUGGGAGCUGUGUUGACGGUCCUUAAGUAUCAAAUUUAAUUAUCAAAUAAACAAAGAAAAAGAUCCAAAUGCAAUCGACAUCCAGACUUAGGGUUUUAUCUGACAGAAUUCCACGAGUUUUGGUGUUUAUCUAUUUCUACAGGGGGUUAUCAGGAAUUAUGGAGGAAAGGCCCACACAUCGGGUUUACAUAGAGAUAUUAACGUGCCGCGCAAUUAUCUAACAUCUAGAAGAGUCCAGAAGCCACGGAAACGAACGGGAGACCGGACGGGCUCGAGGGCAGGGCGCCCGCCCUCCCCCCUUGGGCGCCCGCCCUGACCACGAGGUCAAUCAGCUUCAACUUCACGGAUCAUGCUCCACCGACCUAAAGGAUCAAGGAAAACUAUGCGAUUAAUGUCGGUUUGAUCCGACGGCCCACAUUCACUUGGAAGGACUAUAUAAGUAGACCCCCUGGCUCCUGGAGGAGAGGACCUCUGAACCCUAAUUCAUUAUCUAUCUUAGGAGAAGAAGCCUCUGAUCAAGCCCUAGAGCCACCACAUCAAUUAGAUCUCUAGUUUAGCAUAGCUACAUAGGAUUAGAACUAGAAGGAGUCAACCUUCGAUUGGUUUCCGCAUCUGUCAAGAGGAUUCUUGGUAAUUCCUCUAUUGUUCUUCAAUUGUUCAUCUUUGUUCUUCGAUGUUAUGAAUAUGACUUUGUUCAACUUCAAUAUAUUGAUUAUGACUUUGCUCUACUUGUUUAUAUUCGCAAUUAUAUUGUUCUUAGUUUAUCAUAGUUAUAUGCUUGUCUUAGUUAGAUUGGAAUUAUAUACAUGUUUAGGAUCGUAUAGUGUUUAUCCAUGUGUACAGUGGGUAAAUGAUAAGUAUUGUGUAGGCGUGGUGCCUAUACCGUAUUUAUCUGCAAUUGUACCCUAUAUGCCAGAUCGCGGGGUAGUUCGUGGUAGUGAUAGCUCCAUUGAUUCUUGUAUAGUCCCCCUCUCGUGUAUAGGUCUGGCAGAGCAACAUUAUUACAGGGGAGUGAUUGCUAUGUUUCUCAUCUUCCUUGAUAAUAUCACUAUGCAUGGGCGUAAUCCUGUCUCACAAUGAUUGCCAAGUAUAAUUGCACUAACUAUGAUAUACUAGACUUUAUAGUUAAGAAUAACAUAGGAAAUAUUCUUGUAGUUCGUCCUAAUUCCAUGCUAAUGACUUGCUAUAAUAUCUAUUGAGGUGCUUAUCAUAUUUAUAUGUGGCUAAGUUAUGCUGAUCAGAUUAAUUAUCUUUGUCACCAUUCAUACUUUAUCUGUCUUUUAUGUGACACUUAUUCCUGUAUGAAAGAGAUAGAUAAAUGCUCUCAAUUAUACAUGCAACGAUAGAUACUCAAUCUUAUAUUCCAUUCCAUAAUCAACAUUGAUGAUUAGAAAUCCCUUCCCAGUGGUAAAAAUAUAAAUAACGAUGCCUGGAACUUCCCGGUUAAAAUGCUACAUCGGUAUUAAUCUGUGUGCUUGCAGAUCUCAUUUAUUAUUUAUUUAGAAGAGCAAUUGCAUAUUUCAAUACCGCGUCUCUUAUGUUAUGCUGGGGAUGACAACUUGGCUUAAGUGGCAUGAGGGAUAGGUUUGGCAUUUUUGGCGCCGUUAUCAGAACUAGAAAACUAAGUCUACUUUUGGUAGUGACGUUGAGAAUGCCCAACAAGCAUUUUUGGCGCCGUUGCCGGGGAAGGUUGAUUACUAAUCAGGAAUGAAUAUGGAAUUUUGAGUCAUCAUUCGCAUCACUAAUAUGAUUGAGAUUAUCAAUUCUCUCAUAUAGUUUUACCCCGAUACUUUUGUAUUUUAUUUUAUGUAGGGUAAUGUAUGAAUAGAAGACAUCUUCCAUGAAGUUUUGUUGACAAUCCCGAAGCAUUAUUCGGAAAAACAAGAGCCAAGCUCAAGAAGAGAUCAUCAACACUUCAGCACGAAGCUUCAUCCAAUCAAGAAGAUCACCGAAGUUUCACCUGGAACUUGUCUUCAAAAUUCGAAGUCAUGGCGAACAAAUCGAUGACAACUUUGAGAUCAACAUCCGUAUGGACCUGCUGCACUAUGGACAACAUCCGUACUAGACCUGCUGCAGAGAUUGAUGACAACUUUGAGAUCAAGCCUGGACUUAUCAACAUGGUGCAAUCUAACCAGUUCUGUGGGGAGGCACACGAAGAUGCUAGUGCUCAUCGAUGGCAACUUUGAGAUCAAGCCUAGACUUAUCAACAUGGUGCAAUCCAACCAGUUCUGUGGGAAGACACACAAAGAUGCUAGUGCUCAUCUCUAACACUUCCUGGAGAUUUGCAGCACAUUCACCAUAUCAGAAGUCCCCAGAGAUGCUAUACUACUUCGCCUCUUCCCAUUCUCAUUGUUGGGGAGAGUGAAGCAGUGGUUCUAUGCUACAAAGGAGAAGAACACUACGUGAGUGUUGACGGUCCUUAAGUAUCAAAUUUAAUUAUCAAAUAAACAAAGAAAAGGAUCCAAAUAAAAUCAACAUCCAGACUUAGGGUUUUAUCUAACAGAAUUCCAUGAGUUUUGGUGUUUGUCUAUUUCUGUAGGGGGGUAUCAGGAAAUACGGAAGAAAGGCCCACACGUCGGGAUUACAUAGAGAUAUCAACGUGCCGCGCAAUUAUCUUACAUCUAGAAGACUCCAGAAGCCACGAGAAGGAAGCGUUGGCCGAACAGAUCCAGGCCCUGGGCGCCCGCCCAGUUGACCUGGGUGCCCACCCCCUCCUGGAGUCCUAACAGGACUCUAUUUCGGGAAACAUCUCCACCGACCUAAAGGAUCAAGGAUAACCGUUCAAUCAACGUCGGUUAGAUCCAACGACCCAUAUUCACUUGAAGCGACUAUAAAACCAGACCCCCUGGCCCUUGGAGGAGAGAGCCUCUCAACCCUAAUUCAUUAUUCUCAAGGGAGAAGAAGCCUCUGAUCAAGUUUAGAGCCACCACAUCAAUUAGACAUCUAGAUUAGCAUAGCUACACAAGAUUAGAACUAGAAGGAGUCAAUCUUCGAUUGGUUUCCGGAUCUGUCAAGAGGAUUCUUGGUAAUUCUCUAAUUUUUCUUCUAAUCAUCUUUGUUCUUCAAUAUUAUGAAUAUGACUUUGUUCUACUUCAAUAUAUUGCUUAUGACUUUGCUCUACUUGUUUAUAUUCAAGAUUAUAUUGUUCUUAGUUUAUCAUAGUUAUAUACUUGGCUUAGUUAGAUUGGAAUUAUAUACAUGCUUAGGAUCGUAUAGCGUUUAUCCAUCGGAUCCAUGGGUAAAUGAUAGAUAUUGUGUAGGCAUGGUGCUUAUACCGUAUUUAUCUGCGAUUGUACCCAAUUUGCCAGAUCGCGGGGUAGUUCGUGAUAGUGACAGCUUCGUUGAUUCUUAUAUAGUCCACCUCUCGUGUAUUGGCAGAGCAACAUUAUUACAGGGGAGUGAUUGCUAUGUUUCUCAUAUUCCUUGCUAAUAUCACUAUGCAUGGGCGUAGUCUUGUCUCGUAAUGAUUACUAAGUAUGCUUGCACUAACUAUGAUAAUGCUAGACUAUAUAGUUGAGAAUAACUUAGGAAAUAUUCUUGUAGUUCGUUCUAAUUCCAUGCUAAUGACUUUCUAGAAUAUCUAAUUGAGGUGCUUAUCAUAUUUAUAUGUGGCUAGUUAUGCUGAUCAGAUUAAUUAUCUUUGUCACUAUUUAUUACUUCAUAUAUCUUUUAUGUGACACUUACCCCUGUAUGAAAGAGUUAGAUAAAUGUUCUCAAUUAUAGAUGCAAUGAUAGAUACUCAAUCUCAUAUUCCAUUCUAUAAUCAAUAUUGAUGAUUGCUAAUCCCUUCCCAGUGGUAAAAAUAUAAAUAACGAUACGUGGAAUACUUCCCGGUUAAAAUGCUACAUCGGUAUUAAUCUGUGCGCUUGCAGAUCCCAUUCAUUAUUUAUUUAGAAGAGCAAUUGCAUAUUUCAAUACCGUGUCUCUCAUGUCAUGCUGGGGAUGACAACUUGGCUUAAGUGGUAUGAGGGAUAGGUUUGGCAUUUUUGGCACCGUUAUCAGAAUUAGAAAACUAAGUCUACUUUUGGUAAUGAUGUUAAGAAUACCCAACAAGCAUUUCUGGCGCCGUUGCCGGGGAAGGUUGAUUACUAAUCAGGAAUGGAUAUAGGAUUUUGAGUUAUCAUUAGCAUCACUAAUAUGAUUGAGCUUAUCAAUUCUCUCAUACAGUUUUACCCCGAUAUUUAUCCUAUUUUAUGUUAUGCAGGGUAAUGUAUGAAUAGAAGACAUCUUCCCGGAAAUUUUGUUGACAAUCCCGAAGCAUUAUUCAGGAAAACUAGAGCCAAGCUCAAGAAGAGAUCAUCAACACUUUAGCAAGAAGCUUCAACCAAUCAAGAAGAUCACCGGAACUUGUCUUCAGAGUUCGAAGCCAUGGCAGACAAAUCGAUCCGUGAGUUCUCAGCCCCCACUACGGACAACAUCCGCACUGGACCUGCUGUAGAGAUCAAUGGCAACUUUGAGCUCAAGCCUGGACUUAUCAACAUGGUGCAAUCCAACCAGUUAUGUGGGAAGGCACACGAAGAUGCUAGUGCUCAUCUCCAACACUUUCUGGAGAUUUGCAACAUAUUUACCAUAUCAGGAGUCCCCAGAGAUGCUAUACUACUUCGCCUUUUCCCAUUCUCACUAUUAGGAAGAGCGAAAUAGUGGUUCUAUGCUGCAAAGGAGAAGAAUACUACGUGGGCACUCUGCUCCACGAACUUUCUGGCUAAGUUCUUUCCUAUGGGCAAGACCAAUGCUCUCCGUGGGAAAAUUACAAGUUUUCAGCAACAACAUGAUGAAUCUGUUCCAGAAGCAUGGGAGCGCUUCCAAGACUACAUCCUAGAAUGUCCCCAUCAUGGAAUGGAGAGGUGGCUAUUGAUGCAGACGUUUUAUCAAGGGCUCGGCAAUAGUGCCUGAGAAACCAUGGAUGCUGCAGCUGGAGGAGCAUUCCUAUCACUUACCAUAUCACAAGCCAUAGCUCUUGUGGAGAAGAUGGCGUCCAAUCAAGGCUGGAAUGAAGAGAGGACCCAGACACGCAAGAUAGGUGGAGAUAUGCAUCAGCUCAAGGAGGUAGACAUGCUGUCUGCAAAGCUAGACCUGCUCAUGAAGAAGCUCGAUGAUAGAGCUAGAGAUAAGAAAGAAGUUAUGCACAUCUACGACUCUCACAUGACUUGUGAGGAGUGUGGAGAUACUGGACACUCAGGCAAUCACUGCCCUGAGAUGCUUGAGGAUGUGAACUACAUCAACAAUAACAACAACAACUACUACGACCGUCCUCAACAAAACCAAGGUUGGAAUCAACAGAGGCCUAACUACUUAGGUAAUUAUCAAGGUAACAAUUCUUACAACAAUAAUAAUAAUUUUCCACCUCUAAGAGAGUUAGUGUCUAAUCAAGGAAAGCUAAAGGAUAACCUAUCUAAGAAAUUGGCAUCUAAUGAUAAAAUGUUAGAAAAUAUAAAUAAUAGAAUGGAUAAUUUCUCUACUACUAUCAAGAAUCAAAUUAGCAUUAAUAAAAUGGUUGAAUCUCAGUUAAAUCAAAUAGCUGCUGCUGUUCCUACUACUAACCCCGGUAUACCAUCACAACCGGAAGGAUUAGAAUCAGCAAAUCUUGUAGACAUGUUUGAUGCAGGUAACUACUGGAGUGACCCCUUCACUGAAGUUACUACUGACCUUCUGCCGGUCAAGAGAGGCGAUCCAGGAUGCCCCGUCAUCCCGAUCUCCAUCGGCAUGGUGGACGUCCCAGAAGCACUCUGUGACUUUGGCUCCAGCGUCAACAUUAUACCCAGGGUACUCUAUGAAAAAUUCUUUACAUAUCCUUUAUUAGAAACAACCAUGUGUUUGCAGUUUGCAGAUCAGACGAUAAGUUUUCCAAAGGGAAUAUUGAAGAACCUCUGUGUCCGAGUUGGUACCUUAUAUGCCCUAGCACACUUUAUGGUGAUAGAGACCGGUAAUGAUGAGAGAGCACCCAUCAUCUUAGGGAGGCCAUUCUUAAACACCUCGGGAGCUGUCAUCUACGCUAGUGCUGCCAAGAUCAGUUUCUACAUCAAAGGGAAGAAGGAGACGUUUUCCUUCAAGAACAAGACUACACAAAUCCCAGAUCAAUCCAGACGUGAAUCAAGGAAGAGGACCAACAGGAGGAACAAGAACAAACAAGUAUGGACCGAGUCAGCUAAGAUGGUCACUGUAGUUCAUGGAGGUCAAGAUCAUCAACUUAAGUCACCAUUUUUGACCAAGAAGGACGACCCAGGAAUGCCAAGCAUCUAUUGCUCUAUAAAUGGAUACAACUUCUACAAGAGGACUUGCGACACCGGAUCGGGCGUCAACAUAAUGGCCACAGUCACCUAUCGGCUCUUGUUCGGAACCAUGCCCCUAAAACCAACAUACAUUUAGCUCCAGAUGGCAGAUCAUACGUUCGAGAAGUUAAAGGAAUAGUAACUGAUGUCCCUGUCAAAAUAGACGAUCAUUUUGUCUACACAGACUUUCAGGUUAUUGACAUGGGAGAAGACGAAUACGAUCCACCCAUCAUCCUUGGAAGACCGUUCCUCACCACCGUUAAAGCAGUCAUCUACAUUGAAACCAGAGAAGUCCAUACGCACUUGCCCUCAGAAAAGGUACGCUGCUAUUUUAAUGACCCUAACUAUAUCGUUGAAGACUCUAAGCAGGUCAGAAAACGACGCAACCGCAACCAGAGGAGGCAGAUCAUCAAGGUCGGAUGGGCAGACUAUGAAGGAGAAGUAGUGAGGUGAGAAAACAUACAGUUUAAACAGAAUUAUCCAGAGGAGACCGUAGCACGGAGUCAGGUAUGGAAAGAGAAGAUAACUAUACAUGAAGAGGAGGCGCUGCCGGAAGUACCGACUCCGCCACCCAACGAAUCCUAGGACGACUGAGAAAACGGAGAGUCCAAUUCGGAGGACUUAAAAACACCGAACGCCUUGCCAAGAGGUAAACUUGGUAGUUAUCCUUUCCCUUUCAAUUAUUUUAAAUAGUUUGCUUAGUUAAUCAAGUUCAUACUAUCCUAAAAAGAAAAAUAAAAAUAUUAAAGAAUAGUAAGCCCCAUGUGAGUAUACGAGUACAUUCAUUGUGGUGGCAUAAAAAUAAAAUAAAUAUUUCUUUUCUGCUUCAUAAAAUGAAAAUAUAAAAAUAGAGAGUAACACUUAUUGAGGAGGCUCAACAUGAUAAAGGCUAGAUGUUUACGCUAACACUUAAUCAGUUCCACAAAGCUCUGUUGUCUAUUUGAGCUCCACAGAAUUUAAGAAUGAAGAAGACUAGCAGACGGAGGACAUUCUAAUCGCUGUUAAGAUACUGCUGACUUUCAAAUACACCUCUGCCACCUGCUAGUUACAUCAAUAGAAAUUACGUUAAAAUUCAGCUUGGGGGAGAGCACCCACAUUUAUCCCAAUAAGUAUUUCUAUCUAUCUAUCUUUACACUUAUACUAUAUUAAAAUAUAAAUAUAAAUAACUAUGAAAAACCAAAUAAAGAUUUUGUGCCUAUAUAAAUAUAUGUCUUUUGCUUAGUGUGUUUAAUAAAUAAAUAAAGUGGCUAUGCUAAACUGAAUCUUAAUAAUGAAACUCUAGCAUGGAUAUGAUGAAUAGUUUCUCUGCUUAAUUUUUCAAAUUUGAGUUCUCUCACUUGUUUAGACAUAACUGUUAUAAUUUAAAGCUUGCUCUAGACCUAAACUUGUGGGAUGAAAACUUGAUCUAAAGUCUAUGUUUUUAACGGAUGCGAUAUGGGAGCUGCUUAUCUGUUCCUAGAGAUGCUAAAAUUCUGGAGAGUUUUAUCUUUAAAAAUCUUUAAAAUAUUGCAUGAUGAGUUCCUGUAUGAUGAGAGUUUAAAUUCCUACCACAACCAUAUAUACAUGCUUGCUAGACUUUGAGCCACACAUUUACUUUUUACUGCUUAUGAGCAUUGAGUGUGGUCAAGCUGUGUAGACCAUUAGGAGCUUGUCAUGUGGUUAAAUCAAGAUUCACUUGCACGUUCACUCACACUUGCUGCUUCUACUCCAGAAGUACGCAUCCACAUAUAUCCACUCAUUUCCAUCUCCAGAACCAUCCAUAAAUAUUCUACUCCUAAUCCGGGAGAGAAUAGCCAAAAACAUUCUCCUAUUUCUGUUUUUCCCCCGUGAAAUAAAUGCUCAAGUUAUCUUGGUUACUACCACUUGCUAUAUUAUUUCAGGAGAUGAGUGCUCUAAGAAAAAAAUAGAAAAAGAAAAGAUAUGAGGAAAUAAAAAGGGGCAACUGUCCGGAACCUCGUAAGAAAAGAAAAAGUAAGACGAGAGGUAAAAAUGGACAAGUGUCCGACAGUAGAAUUAGGGGUACAAGAUACCCACCUGAGAGGAAAGAAAAAGAAAAGAUAGAGCAUCUCAUUCUCCUCACAAAGUUUCAAAAAGCAAGAAAGUUAUGUAUCCCCUCAAAGAGCAAAAGUAGAAUUAGACUUUCACCAUUGUUAUCACCAUCAUCACCAUACAACAUUCAUUCGCCACACAUGCACAUCUUGAUUUGACUUAUUGAUUUGUUUCUCUGGAUCCAUGGUUUGACUAUGCAAUAAAUGUCUUGUAAGUAUGUAUACUUUAUCUCCCACCUAUGAGCUCCAGAUAUCAAAAGCCUUAUUAGAGUAGGAUGAGAGAGAAGGCAAUGUCACUACGCAUUAUACCACAAAUACUACAUAUUUUGAGAGAAGUCAUAUACCAUCACUGCCUUGGUAAGGAUCUAGAAAUACCACAAAAGAGAGAUAUGGGAGAGUCAUACAAGGAAUCUCUGAGUUUUAUUUGAAAAUUUGCAAAAACUCCAGAGCCAUAGCUGAUCAAGAAUAAGAGACAUGGCACUUGACUAGACUGUUCUAUCAUUUAACUACUCAAGACAAAAGUGACGGUUACAAGUCCCAUGGUGAAAGGUAAAAUGAAUAAUUUUUAAAUCUUGACAGUUUACUCUAACUCAGAGAUGAGACCUCAUUUAAAAGCAUGUGUACCGUCAAUUUUGAAAGGCAUUGCAACAACUUCUGAUCCAUCGCUGAGUCUAUCCUUGGUCAGGGACGAGCAAGAGGUAAGCUUGGGGGAGUUUGUUGACGGUCCCUAAGUAUCAAAUUUAAUUAUCAAAUAAACAAAGAAAAGGAUCCAAAUAAAAUCAACAUCUAGACUUAGGGUUUUAUCUGACAGAAUUCCACGAGUUUUGGUGUUUGUCUAUUUCUGCAGGGGGGUAUCAGGAAAUACGGAAGAAAGGCCCACACGUCGGGAUUACAUAGAGAUAUCAACGUGACGCACAAUUAUCUUACAUCUAGAAGACUCCAGAAGCCACAGGAAGGAAGCGGAGGCCGAACGGAGCUAGGCCCUGGGUGCCCGCCUAGUUGACCUAGGCGCCCGCCCCCUCCUGGAGUCCAAACAGGACUCUCUUUCGGGAAAGAGCUCCACCGACCUAAAGGAUCAAGGAUAACCGUUCAAUCAAUGUUGGUUUGAUCCAACGGCCCAUAUUCACUUGAAGGGACUAUAAAACCAGACCCCCUGGCCCCUGGAGGAGAGAGCCUCUCAACCCUAAUUCAUUAUUCUCAAGGGAGAAGAAGCCUCUGAUCAAGUUUAGAGCCACCACAUCAAUUAGACAUCUAGAUUAGCAUAGCUACAUAGGAUUAGAACUAGAAGGAGUCAAUCUUCAAUUGGUUUCUGGAUCUGUCAAGAGGAUUCUUGGUAAUUCUCUUAUUGUUAUUCUAAUUGUUCUUCAAAUCAUCUUUGUUCUUCAAUAUUAUGAAUAUGACUUUGUUCUACUUCAAUAUAUUGCUUAUGACUUUGCUCUACUUAUUUAUAUUCAAGAUUAUAUUGUUCUUAGUUUAUCAUGGUUAUAUAUUUGGUUUAGUUAGGUUGGAAUUAUAUACAUGAUUAGGAUCGUAUAGCGUUUAUCCAUCGGAUCCAUGGGUAAAUGAUAGAUAUUGUGUAGGCGUGGUGCUUAUACCAUAUUUAUCUGCGAUUGUACCCAAUAUGCCAGAUCGUGGGGUAGUUCGUGAUAGUGACAGCUUCAUUGAUUCUUAUAUAGUCCCCCUCUCGUGUAUUGGGCUGGCAGAACAACAUUAUUAUAGGGGAGUGAUUGCUAUGUUUCUCAUAUUCCUUGCUAAUAUCACUAUGCAUGGGCGUAGUCUUGUCUCGCAAUGAUUGCUAAGUAUGCUUGCCCUAACUAUGAUAAUGCUAGACUAUAUAGUUGAGAAUAACUUAGGAAAUAUUCUUGUAGUUCGUUCUAAUUCCAUGCUAAUGACUUUCUAGAAUAUCUAAUUGAGGUGGUUAUCAUAUUUAUAUGUGGCUAGUUAUGCUGAUCAGAUUAAUUAUCUUUGUCACUAUUCAUUACUUGAUAUAUCUUUUCUGUGACACUUACCCCUGUAUGAAAGAGUUAGAUAAAUGUUCUCAAUUAUACAUGCAAUGAUAGAUACUCAAUCUCAUAUUCCGUUCUAUAAUCAAUUUUGAUGAUUGCUAAUCCCUUCCCAGUGGUAAAAAUAUAAAUAACGAUACCUCGAAUACUCCCCGGUGAAAAUGCUACAUCGGAAUUAAUCUGUGCGCUUGCAGAUCCCAUUCAUUAUUUAUUUAGAAGAGCAAUUGCAUAUUUCAAUACAGUGUCUCUCAUGUCAUGCUGGGGAUGACAACUUGGCUUAAGUGGUACGAGGGAUAGGUUUGGCAUUUUUUGCACCGUUAUCAGAAUUAGAAAACUAAGUCUACUUUUGGUAAUAAUGUUAAGAAUACCCAACAGUGGGCACUCUGCUCCACAAACUUUUUGGCUAAGUUCUUUCCCAUGAGCAAGACCAAUGCUCUCUGUGGGAAAAUUACAUGUUUCCAGCAACAACAUGAUGAAUCCGUUCCAGAAGCAUAGGAGCACUUCCAGGACUACAUCCUAGAAUGUCCCUAUCAUGGAAUGGAGAGCUGGCUACUGAUGCCGACGUUUUAUCAUGGGCUCGGCAAUAGUGCCCGAGAGACCAUGGAUGCUGCAGCUGGAGGAGCAUUCCUAUCACUCACCAUAUCACAAGCCACAACUCUUGUGGAGAAGAUGGCGUCCAACCAACGCCGGAAUGAAGAAAAGACCCAGACACGCAAGAGAGGUGGAGGUAUGCAUCAGCUCAAGGAGGUAGACAUGCUGUCUGCAAAGCUAGACCUACUCAUGAAGAAGCUCGAUGAUAAAGCUGGAGACAAGAAAGAAGUUAUGCACAUCUAUGACUCUCACAUGACUUGUGAGGAGUGUGGAGAUACUGGACACUCAGGCAAUCACUGCCCUGAGAUGCUUGAGGAUGUGAACUACAUCAACAACAACAAUAACAAUUACUACAACCAUCCUCAACAAAAUCAAGGCUGGAAUCAACAGAGGCCUAACUACUCAGGUAAUUAUCAAGGUAACAAUUCUUACAACAAUAAUAAUAAUUUUCCACCUCUGAGAGAGUUAGUGUCUAAUCAAGGAAAGCUAAUGGAUAACCUAUCUAAGAAAUUGGCAUCUAAUGAUAAAAUGUUAGAAAAUAUAAAUAAUAGAAUGGAUAAUUUAUCUACUACCAUCAAGAAUCAAAUUAGCUUUAAUAAAAAUAUUGAAUCUCAGUUAAAUCAAAUAGCUGUUGCUGUUCCUGCUACUAACCCAGGUAUACCAUCACAACCGGAAGGAUUAGAAUCUGCAGAUCUUGUAGACAUGUUUGAUGCAGGUAACUACUGGAGUAACCCCGUCACUGAAGUUACUACUGACCUUCUCCCGGUCAAGAGAGGCGAUCCAGGACGCCCCGUCAUCCCGAUCUCCAUCGGCAUGGUGGACUUCCCAGAAGCACUCUGUGACUUUGGCUCUAGUGUCAACAUUAUGCCCAGGGUACUCUAUGGAAACUUCUUUACAUAUCCUUUAUUUGAAACAACCAUGUGUUUGCAGUUUGUAGAUCAAACGCUAAGUUUCCCAAAUGGAAUAUUAAAGAACCUCUGUUUCCGAGUUGGUACCUUGUAUGCCCCAGCAGACUUCGUGGUGAUAGAGACCGGUAAUGAUGAGAGGGCACCCGUCAUCUUAGGGAGGCCAUUCCUGAACACCUUGGGAGCUGUCAUCUACGCUAGUGCUGCCAAUAUCAAUUUCUACAUCAAAGGGUGAAAGGAGACGUUUACCUUGAAGAACAAGACUACACAAAUCCCAGAGCAAUCCCAACAUGAACCAAGGAAGAGGACCAACGGGAGGAACAGGAACAAGCAAGUGUGGACAGAGUCAGCUAAGAUGGUCACUGCAGUUCAUGGAGGUCAAGAUCAUCGACUCAAGUCACCGUUUCUGACCAAGAAGGAUGACCCAGGAAUGCCAAGCAUUCAUUGCUCCAUCAAUGGGUACAACUUCUACAAGACACUUUGCGACACCGGAUCGGGCGUCAAGAUAAUGGCCGCAGUCACCUAUCAGCUCUUGUUCGGAACCAUGCCCUUCAAACCAACAUACAUUCAGCUCUAGAUGGCAGAUCAGACAUUCCGAAAGGUUGAAGGUAUAGUAACUGAUGUCUCUGUCAAAAUAGAUGAUCAUUUUGUCCAUACAGACUUUUAGGUUAUUAACAUGGGAGAAGACGAGUACGACCCACCCAUCAUCCUUGGGAGACCUUUCCUCAGCACCGUUAAAGCAAUUAUCUACAUUGAAACCAGAGAACUCCACAUGCACUUCCCCUCAGAGAAGGUACGCCGCUAUUUUACUGACCCUAAUUAUAUCAUUGAAGACCAGGUCAGGACAAGAAGAAGACGACGCAAGAGGAGGCAAAUCAUCAAGGACGGAUGGGCAGACUACGAAGGAGAAGUUGUAAGGUCUGAAGACAUACAGCUUGAACAGAAUUGUCCUAAGGAGACCGUAGCACCGAGUCAGGUGUGGAGAGAGAAGAUAGAUAUACAUGAAGAAGAGGCGCCGCCGGAACCACCUACUACGACAUCCAGUGAAUUCCAGGAUGACUAAGAAAACAGAGAGUCCCGUUCGGAGGACUUAAAAACACCGAACGCCUUGCCAAGAGGUAAACUUGGUAGUUAUCCUUUUCCUUUCAACUAUUUCAAAAAGUCCACUUAGUUAAUUAGGUACGUACUAUCCUAAAAAAGAAAAUAAAAAUGUUAAAAAAUAGUAAGCCCCAUGUGAGUAUACAAGUGGCAUAAAACCCAUAAGUACAUUCACUGUGGUGGCAUAAAAAUAAAAUACAUAUAUUCGUCCUCUAUAAAAUUAAAAUAUAAAAAUAGAGAGUAACACUUAUUGAGGAGGCUCAACAUGAUAAAGGCCAGAUAUUUAUGCUAACACCUAAUCAGUUCCACAAAGAUUUGUUGUCUAUUUGAGCUUUCACGGUACUGCCAACUUUCAAAGACACCUCUGCCACCUGCUAGCUACAUGAGAAGAAAUUACGUCAAAAUUCAGCUUGGGGGAGAGCACCCCCAUUUAUCCCGCUAAGUAUUUCUAUCUACAUUUAUACAUAUACUACAUUAAAAUAUAAAUAUACAUAACCAUGAAAAACCAAAUAAAGAAUUUGUGCUUAUAUAUAUCUUUUGCUUAGUAUGCUUAAUAAAUAAAUAAAGUGGCUAUGCUAAACUGAAUCUUAAUAAUAGAACUCUAGCAUGCAUAUGAUGAAUAGUUAUUGUGCCUAAUUUUCAAAUUUGAAGUUCUCUCUAGUUUAGACAUAACUGUUAUAAUUUAAAGCUUGCUCUAGACCUGAACUUGUGGGAAGAGAACUUGAUCUGAAGUCUAAGUUGUUAACGGAUAUGAGAUGGGAAGGUUGAGCUGCUGUUUAUCUGUUCCUAGAGAUGCUAGAAAUCUGGAGAAUUUUACCUUUGAAAAUCUUUAAAAUAACACAUGAUGAGUUCCUGUAUGAUGAGAGUUUAAAUUCCUACCAUAGCCAUAUAUGCAUGCUUGCUAGACUUUGAGCCACACAUUUAUUUUUUUUACUACUUAUGAGCAUUGAGUAUGGUCAAGCUGUGUAGACCCUUAGGAGCUUGUCAUGUGGUUAAAUCAAGAUUCACUUGCACGUUCACUCACACAUGCUGCUUCUACUCCGGAAGUACGCAUCCACAUAUAUCCACUCAUUUCCAUCUCCAGAACCACCCAAAAGUAUUCUACUCCUAAUCCGGGAGAGAAUAGCCAAAAUAUUUCAGUUUUUCCCUAUGAAACAAAUGCUCAAGUUAUCUUGGUUACUACCACUUGCUACAUUAUUUCAAGAAAUGAGUGCUCUAAAAAAAGAAGAAGAAAAAGUAUACGAGGAAAUAAAUAGGGGCAAGUGCCCGGAACCUCGAAAGAAAAUAAAAAGUGAGACGAGAGGUAAAAAUAUACAAGUGUCCGACAGUAGAAUUAGGGGUACAAGAUACCCACCUGUGAGGAAAGAAAAAGAAAAUAUAAAGCAUCUCACUCUCCUCAAAAGUUUCAAAAGAGCAAGAAAGGUAUGUAUUCCCUCAAAAGAGCAAAAGUAUAAUUAGAAUUUCACCAUUGUUAUCACCAUCAUCACCAUACAUCAUUCAUUCGCCACACAUUCUCAUCUUGAUUUGACUUAUUGACUUGUAUCUUUGGAUCCAUGGUUUGACUAUGCAAUAAAUGUCUUAUAAGUAUGUAUACUUUAUCUCCCACCUAUGAGCUCCAGAUAUCAAAGCCUUAUUAGAGUAGGGUGAGAGAGAAGGCAAUGUCACUAUGCCUCGUACCAAAAAUACCA